UACACCAUUGCAGCAGCAGCUGGCCCCGACAUCUAGUCGGGAGCGAGAGAAAGAAAUCACACGCUCUAGAAGCUGUGUUUCUGCUACCCCGCGGGUGUGAUUGGAAGAUGGGACGCUUCUUGCUCCUCUGCGCGUUCCUCCUUGUCCUGCUCAGCGUGGCGAGCCUCAUGGAGGUCACGGAAGGGAGGGGCCGAGGCGGAUCACGCGGCGGAGGAAGCAGCAGCCCGCGUGGCCUCAGCGGUGGCACCUGGAUGGCGUGCGUUGGCUCCUCGCUGCUGGCCGCCGCGGCCAUGCUGUUGUAGGCGCGCUGCGUGACUCAGCUAUGCGGUGAUGUACGUCUGCCCUGGAGAUCUUUGUACGUGCUUUGAUAAUUCGUGUGUUGUGACUUGUGUGUGCUUCAGAUAUAUCUGAAUGGUGUCGUUGUAACUGGCAGCAACAACAGUGGGUCGAGCGUGAGAUUCCUAAACUUAACCACGGCUUCUGUAAAUUAAUGCAUUUCUCGUAUCAUCUUUGUUUUCUUUCAUCCCUAACACAAAGAUGGCUGGGAUUAUCUAUACCCCUUCGUUAGAAAAGGCACGAUAGUUUUAUUUUAAAAAGUCGCCUGCCCGCCCGUCCGCUCCGGUGCCCGGCGUAUGUGUACGGAUUCAUACGACCACGACGUGUUUUAUUUUCACAUCACCUAUCAAACGUUUUUUUCAACGACGAGGUGUCUGCGAUGACUUGGUAAAUCUUAAGAUGAUAUACCGGUUCGAUCUUUCGAAGAUGUUCAUAGGGGUAAGGUGUACGGAAUUUUUGUUAAAAAACCACUAGCCGAGUGCUAUUGUCAAAAAAAACCACAUGUGGUAUGGAAUGCCAGAGAAGACCCCCCUUAUUUUAUGGCGGCAGGCGCGCCAGGUGACGCGUGGCACCUGCCGCCACGAGUCGAGGCGGCUGGGCCCUGCCGCCACCACGCGAUGCGGCCGCUAGCGUCUGCCUGCACCCGAGCUGCAGGAACAAGAGACCACCGUCGAUGCUGUACCGAGCAUGCAGCUCGCACAUGCUGCAUGCACAGACACUGAAUGAGGCCGGAUGGACGCUGGACACGAUGGGGGACCAGCAUGCCGAGAACGACCGUUGUGCAGCCUGCCGCCUGGAGUGUUGGCGGAGGUUCCACCUGCGCGGCCAGCCGCGCGCCUCGCGUCGUGGCGGCAGUGCCCAGCUGCCUCGACCUGUGGCGGCAGGUGCCACGCGUCACCUGGCGCGCCUGUCGCCAUAAGAUGUGGGGGUCUUUUCUGACAAUCCAUACCACAUGUGGUCCUUUUGACAAUAGCACUCGGCUAGUGGAUUUUUUAGACAAAAAUUCAGGUGUACGUGUGUGCAUUCAUAGGGUGAAUGUAUGUGCAUGUAUAUAAACGCUUGCAUAUGUAAUGCGUUCAAAAAAGCCAUCAAACGUUUUUUAUUAAAUUUCGCAGAGAGGUGCUACGUCGAUCGCUGCAAUAAACCUACAUGUGAUGCGAUGAUUCUAGCCUCGUAAAUUCCGUUGAAUCACCAUUAAUAAGCCAAGGACCUCCCAUGGGUGGCAGAGAACUAACUAACCCGACGAGGAAUUGUUCUCUGUGAAAAUCGUUCGUAGGACCGUAGACUGUUGUUAUCUAGUAAGUCUAAGAAGAUCUAAUCAUUUUGACCUGUGCAGCGUUGGAGAAGAUUCCAAUGCUAUGCAAAGAAACGGAGACUACGGAAUCGUCGAAGAAGAUGGUUGUGUCGUCCCUAGUGCCGAUCGUGGGAAGAACCACACAUUGCUGCAGUAGCGGGCCUCCUACUUCCUUAACUAGAUGUCGAUCCCAAGUUUCAAUUUCUGUUUCUUGGAAGCACAGGAUAGCCACCUUUGGCGCGCAGGUAGCCUUGCAGAUCGCUGAAUGCUUUGCCGCCGAGUUUAGGCCUCGCACAUUCCACCUAAUGGUGGCAUUGGUACAGAAAAACCUAGGUAUUGUAUGAUAAAAAUGGCCUUGUUGUCUAGACACCCGACGCGAGAGUUAAAAAAUAAUGAUGGUGUUGGGUCUCAUGCGAAUAGUAUAUUUCAUCUUUAUGACAUAUCCAUUUGUCCGAAGUCAGCAAAAAAAAAUUAAUAAAAAAAUUACUACUUCAAAAAGUUAAGAGAUUAAACUUCACAAAAUGUACUCAUAAUUUAAACAUACUCAUAAAUUCAUAGUUUAAAACUUAAUAUUAUUCAUUUAAACAUGCAUACUCAUAAACAUACAGUUUAAAAUUUAAUUAGUACUAAUCAACUAACUACUCUUCGUCAUCAAGGAUUAUCUGAAUCUGGCGCAUCUUCUUCCGAUUGCUCUCUCCAUCUUGCUUGAAAUGAACAACGGUUGUCUGUAGAUCAAUCCUCUCCGUCAUGAGUUGUUUUUUCUUCAGCUUUAAUUUAUCCCUCUCUUCCAUUAACUGAUCUGUCAACUCCCUUAGUUUGUUUGACUUAGCGAGGACAUUAGCACCCUCUGUGAGAAGACUAUAAGACUAUCAAUUUCUUUCUCCACUGCGGCAUUGUCUUAUUCGAGAUUUUUGAUGCUCCACUCUGACGACUCUAAGAGCCACUGACUCCACUGCUCCACGUCGUCCACCGAUUCUUUGUUGCUUGAUGGGUUGUCCAUGUGUGUUGUUUCAAAUCAUUAUGAACCAUGGCGAAUUAGUUUCUAGCAAUCUAGUAGUAGUGAUGGACUAAACAGCUAGUAGUACAACAGUUUAUGUCUAUCAUGGCAAAUUCAUCUAGUUUUUCCUAUCAUGGCAAAUUAGUUUCUCGCAAUCUAGCAUUCUAGUUUUUCUAUCAUGGUGAAUUAGUUUCUAGCAAUUUAGCAUUCUAGUUUUCUCUAUCAUGGUGAAUUAGUUUCUAGCAAUCUAGCAUUCUAGCAUAAAAAAGAAACAGAGAUAGCAACAUAUAUACCAGUCCCAAGGAGAUGAGGUCUAUGGGCGACGUCGGGCAUCAGGGCGGGCGGGCAGUGGCGGGCGGGGCGGCAACGGUGUUGGGCGUCAGGCGGGGCGACGACGGGCGGCGUCGGGCGUCGGGCGGGGCGACGGCGGGGAUCGAGAGGAGAGAGGACUAGUGGAGUUGAGGGUGGAGAGAGUGAGGACGGAUAAAGUUUUUUACUGCACCGAGAGCCGACAGUGCUGGCGUGGGCCUAGUGUGUCUGAAUGCGCAACACCGGAGCUAAUGUGCAACGCCAGCACUAAGCUAAUAGCUAUGGCAUACGAAUUUGGCCCACGCCAGCACUAUUUCAAAAUAUUAGUGUCGGCGUUGGCCAGAAAAGACGCCCCACCAACGUAAGUUGUGGCUUGCCAUUUCUCCACUAGUGUGGGAGGGGUGUCAUCCAUGGGGAAACAAGGCAAUUCUCUGGAAGCUAAUUGAACUACUAAAGUGAGGGCAAUGAGGGAGUUCGGAACUAAGGGGUCCUCGAACCGCUGAUCUAUUUUCAUGGGCCAGACUUAUGGGCCGUCUUGUGAUUAUCAUUGAAGGCCAAAUUACGAGACAAUGCCAUAUCCAAAAUGGAUUUUUCUGAUGCCUUGGUGUACGCCCAAGUUAAGAUGAUAAUCGGCAUAUUUUCUCCUUGAUGUAACCGACAUUGUGUAACCCUAGUACCCCUGGUAUCCAUAUAAACUAGAGGUCAUUAGCUCAUAGGGCACGUUAAGAUCAUUAUUACUAAGUUUUAGACCACAACAUACGAUCUCGAGGUAGAUCAACUAUGUAUUCGAUACUACAUCAUCAAUAUAAACAAGAGCAUGACAUAGGGUUUUACCUCUAUCAGGAAGGUCCGAACCUGGAUAAACAUCGUCUCCUUUGUCUCUUGUUACCCAUCGAUCCAAGAUCCACAGUUUGGACCCCCUACCCGAGAUUCAUCGGUUUUGACACCGACAGACACACCAUCCUUACAACCAGUGGUGAAGCCACGUUUUAGCUGUGUAGUCAUAUGACUACACAGGAAUUUGAUAAAUCAAGUCACCAUGGAUAUGUAUAUUACACUGUGGAACAAACUACUUCAAGAAAUUGACUACACAAGCUAACGUGACAUCACAAACUUAGGAUCCUGGCACCGCCUCUGCUUACAACCUGCAUACCAAUCUAUUUAACAAGCUAACUUUGUUCAAGGGGUGGCAUUGUUGUGUGUUCAGGGGGAUGGCAUUUUGUGUGUCCAUGGGGUUGCAAUUUUUAUCUAUUUAUUCUUUGACAAAUUCGUGGAAAUACAUUUGAAUGUGAAUCUGUCAGGUUAUACAAGCUUUUUUGUUUGCACUUUUUUCCAUAUCAAAACUAGUUGCCAUGCUUUCUCUAAUCUUGCCAUGACAUUUUUCAUAGCUAGCUAAUAAGUAGAAAAAACACAUGGCAACUAUGAACAAUGUUUGCCUAGAUAUCUGGUUUCACCAAUCACAGGUAGGACAAUCUGUGAAUCUGUCAUGUCAUGCAUUCUAGGAAAAUAGUUGCAUGGAAUUUUCUAGAGGAAUUAGCUAAUUGAGGAUAUGUAAUCUGCCAUGGCAUUUUUAUUAAGUGGAACAUGUCAUUUUUAUUAAUACACAUAAAAAUAUUAUGUACCCAGGCAAAAGAGUGUACGCGAUUGAAACAUAUAACAUUCAUAUGUGAAAGAAGAAUUAUUAGAGAAAAUAUUAUGCAUUUAAACCAAUAAAUACGAUCGGAUGAACAUUUGUUUUUAUUAGAAAGGUAGUGGCUACACCUAAGUUCGGUGCACCUCAUGAUGAUCACUAAAAUCAAAUUACAUGGGAAGACAAAGAGCACGAGGGCCUGCACCUCUUUAAAUCAUAAAUCAGUACUACCGGUUAUACAUUACAAAAGGCAUUUGAAUCACUAGAAAAGUCAACAAAACCUAUCAGAAUCUCUGCAUUGGGCAGUUGGGCUGCAGCUAGCUUGUACUACGUCAAAACUAACGCGGCCUGUGAUCUGCCUCCACCGCACCUUCUCUUGAAGCUCUGAUCCUCAUAAUCUGUGCUCGUCCUCUUCCUGCCGGGGUAGCCAUACGGCCCGCCGUCAUUCCGCGUAGGUGGUGGCACUGUCAUGUUGCCUCCCAUGGCGUUGACAUGGUGCGACCCCAUCGGAUAACCGCCACCGUAAGCGUAGGGCAUGCCGGCGUGGCCGUAGUACAUGGAAGGAUCAGCCGACCACGGCAUCCCACCAAAAAAAGGAUCGUAGCACGCCGGGGCGAAGGGAACGCUGAAGCCGUGUUGAUGAUCGACAUGGCUGGCCGCUGUGUCCGUUGUCUCCUGCUUCUUCCUUGGCUCGUGCGCCGCUGGAGCCGACGUCGAUUUGCUUGCGUACUCGCUGUGCUCCGACUCCAAGGUGGCGCCCUUCUUGGAAGACGCGUGGCUGCUCAUGCUGCUGCUCCCCUGCGAUGCUGCCGGACUUUGAGUCUGAUGCGUGGACGCCGCGACCUCGUUGCUUGAGACGGAGCUCCUCUGCUUCUCUGCUCCACCUGAAGAGCUGCUGGCCCUGGCGGCGAGAAUGUUGGAGAUGGUGGUGCGCACCGUGAGGUUGGGGACCAGAUCGUCCGCGCUCGCCUUGGCCCCGCAAGCGCACUUGGAGUUGGCGACGAUGUGCGCUCUGAUGCACCGGCCGCAGAAGCUGCCGAAGCAGCACUUGCUCGCCACCACCGCGUCGGCCAUCACCUCCUUGCAAAUCUUGCAGUGGAGAUCCGCCGGGAAGCCGUCGUCGUUGCUCUCGUCGACCGGCCGAGGGGCAACCACGGGAGUCCCUCCAAAGUCGAAUCUCGAGUCGCCGUUUGUGGGGCAGUGUUGGAUGAAGUGGCCCGGGACGCGGCACCUGUGGCACACGUACCCGGCCGGCGGCGCCCGCCCGUUGUGCGCUGCUCCACGGUGAUCAUAGGAGCCCUCCCACUUUGGUUCCGCGCCGUCGAUCACCGCGCUGAUAGCCUUAGCCUCGUCCUCCUCUGUUCCGGCCGACCUCAUGGCCGAGUACGAGGAUGGAUCACCGCCGACUUGCCUCGAUCUCGGGCAUAGAGGGGGUUCGUCGUAUGGCCUAGCCACGAUGGUAUCGGCCGGAGGCCCAGCCACUCGGCGCGCCACCACCACCGUCGAGUUACGCAGGACCAAUGCGUUGUCGUCCGCGUACUCCUCAAGGGUCUGCCCGUUGGAGAUCGUUAUGGUCUCCCUGGGACCCCGGCCGCGUGUCCGGCCAUGACCAGAGCGGCCUGUCUCCAUGAUAAGGCGCCUCAGGUCGCCGACGGAGAUGGAAGGCGCGGCAAGGGGCAGGGAGAACGUGCCACGGGCGCUGCUGUACUUGUAGUGCACUGCCAUCCUUUCCUCGAAGUUGAGCACGAAGGUCGAGAUGGACGCCCUCGUGAGUCGCUCGCCGGAGAUGAGCCUAGCUAGGAUGGUUGUGCUGGGGAGGCUCACGUCAACAGGGAUGAUCUGAUGGCCUUAUAUGGUACUCCAUUUGGCCUUGGGCAAUCCAGAACCGACAAGGUUUCGGGCCUCUUGUGAAUCGCCGCCUAUGGGUAACGUGUCCGAGUUCUAAUCGAAAUAAUACUACGUACAGUACGUGUUUUCGCUUUCUUGUUCUUGCUUAACUCGGACCGGCGACCAACCCCGCGGGCGUGUAUGCUGUUUGCUUCAACCCGAGUCGUCAUCGGAUUCUUUUCGGAUUCACUAAUUCUCAUCUAAAUAAGAAUUUGCGAACCACGUGGCUCGAUGAUGGUUAGAUGAACUGCGGUAUCUUUAACCCGAGUCGUCACUGAAUUGUUUUCAGUUUCACUACUAAUUCACAUCUACUAGAUGAGAAUUAAGUACAGAAUUAUUGAUUCUCGGUCGAGGAUGGCUCAUGGCGAUCGCGCUGUGUUUUGACUUCUGACCGAUGACGCCUUAGCCCGAUUCCCGACCGUGCCACGGCUCCGAACAAGAUGGGGCACUCACCGCCGGCGAUUAAUGGAGUAAGUUGGAAGAUUUUCCACGUGCCUGUAUAUAUUCAUGCUUCAUCGCUUGAGGCUCUUCUGUUCCCCAGAUGAUCCUCCAACAGCUAUGGUUUUUGGCUAUGGUUUUCCUCUAUGUUCAUUUUUCUUUUCCAUCUGAUCCCCUCUAUGGUUUUUGGCUAUGGUUCCCCUCUAUGUUCAUUUUUCUAUUCCAACAGCUAUGAAGUCUUUCCAAUCUCAGAUUUGACAGGUGUUGUUCAUCCUGAACUCCCGGUUCUCAGUCUGAUUAUACUCUGUUUUGGGUAACAUUCACUUGACAAUCUUCAGACUUCAGUGGAUGCCGGCCACGUAAAUUGGUUUCAUGGGUUGUGUCAUCUCUUCAUGUUUUCAGAUUAUACUUUUGAUCUUCAAAAGCAUUGGCUCCUUUGGAGUCUGAUUAUAUUUUGGUUUGUGAAAAAAAAUCACUCGAUGAUCUGCAAUGGCUGUCGGCGAGGUAAAUAUGUUCUGUGGGCUUCCAUACCUCAUCUCUUCAUGUUCUCAGAUUAUGAUUCUGAUCUAAUGAUACAUAUUAAAAUCAGUAAGCUGAGUUCACUAGCGUGCUAGAUUUCAAAUAGCAAUGCUUUACACGAAAACUUUUGAUGUACUUUCGUUAUGCUAGCUGGGAAAUGCUAUAGAGCUGAAUAUGACAUUGAGUUUAUUUUUCCCUUUCUUUGUGUCCUUGAAUAUGUGUGCACAGCCAACUCAAGAAAACAGUGUCGUGUGUAUUGUUUAUGUGAUUCCAGAUACUAAGUAAUCAAUCAUGGUCUUGAUUUAUCUGUACACCAUGGUUCUCAGGACAUAUUGGACACAAGCCUGAAGCCUUUAUGCUCUGACAAAAAAUGUGUUCUGUUACUUUUCCAUUUUAUUCUUUCGACUAUCCAAUGGUUGUGUCCUAAUUGCAUUACCUGUUUGUUGACAUUCCAGGUCAACACACCUCUGUUUAUCGAACCACUAGGACCAUCUUCUACUUUUCAAUUAUCUGUAUUCUUAAUGAUUUCUAUUAUCUACAAGCCUACAAUGUUGAUCCCCUUACAAUGUAGAGAAGCUAUACAGGCUGGUGCUAUGUAAUUUGAGGUACUUGUUUUUUUCGAAACGGAGGCACAAGUUUGCCUCAUCUAUUAAAUAAGAGGAGAAUAAAGUUAAGAGUUUUACAACACAUUCACAAGUUCGGCAUGACAAUUACUCGUCCAAAAAAAUAUUCCCUAAUUUCUUCUCUCCCGCGGUUACCCACGGUUUGGCCUCCUCUAUAAUGGAGGAAAGCAAGGUAGUCGGUGACGAACUCUUGUGGCGGAACACCCGUGCAUUUCCUUCAUUCCAAAUGGUCCAUGAGACAAGCAUGGUGAGGGAGGCCAUAGCUUGCCGAUUGGGGUUGCAAUUGUCGGUUCUCGUAUCCCACCACUCAUAGACGGACUCGUCCAAGAGCCAUACGGAUGUGUCCAUGUGCGCGAGCCCCACCUUUUCAAUGAUAGACUUCUAUAGCCGGAUCAUGUAUCGACACUUGAAGAAUAGGUGGGUCUCGUCUUGUAAUGCCCCAAGUGUAGGUCUUUCCCUUUUUGUAACCUUCCAUGUGGGGCACCUUGUCAGAGAUCUUGAUGAUAUCAUUUUGUGCCUUGAAUUCAUGUGUGUUCCCUAGUGCUUACUUCCCUUGCAUGCUCGCAUAGCAUAUCAUGCCUUGCCAUAGCUUAUGAUUGCAUGCCAUGAUCAUGUUGCAUUUGAAGUUACUAGGAGUAGUGUGUGGUGUUGAGAGUGCAUGUGAUCUUGCUAGGGUUAAGUGGUGGUUGUGCACUACCUUGUGAUGCAUGUGAUAAUGGUGUGUGUGAUGUAGUAGAGGGUGUGCUAGUCUUUUUAAGCUCUUGCCUUUUAAACUCCUUUUCCCUCCUAUUUUUAUUCUUGUCAAAAUUCCUUCUUCCCAAAGAUGAUUCUAAAAUGUCUAGUGGUUAGAUAAAAUGUGCUUAUGAGGGGGUGUAAUUUUUCUGAUUUUGAUUCUUUGAUUUUAGUGGUGCAAAUAAACUCAAAACAGUAGGUUAAUUACUGUUUUGCAUUUAUUUCAAACAUCACCAAAUAUUGCUUUCCUAUUUUUCCCUAUUGGGUCAGUGUCUCUUAUGUCUAGCAGGAUUUUUCCUUUUAUUUUUUUAAAAACCCAGUAGUCAUUUUGGGUAAUAUAAUUUCUUUUCCCUUUCCUGGGUGCAAUUGUUUUUCAAUCAAUCUUGUUGGUUAAGCCUCCUGUGUGUUGUUUCCUUCCCUGGCCCAUUAUGACUUCUCCCGUGCGGCCCAGUAGGACUCCCCCCCUGGCGACAGAGCCCACUCGCGAGCGUUUCCUUCUUCCUCCCGACGUCACUCCUGUACGACGUGCGCUCCACCUCUGGAUCAUUCUCUCCUUGAUUCAGUGGCUCGAGCUCGCCUCCCGAGAUGUUAAAAGGAGCCCGGGACCCUCCUCCUCCGCCUUAGGGUUCCCUCUCCGUUCCCCCCCCCCCAGCGCCGCCAGUUUCCCUCCUGCCCUCGUUCUUCCCUGGUAAGUUUCUGAGAGGAAGCAGAGAGAGAGAGGGUGCAGCGCCUCCUCCGUCAACCCGCCGAUCCGUCGUCUCCGGCACCGGCCGCCAUGUCCGGGGGCUCNCGUCCUCGUCAACGGGGCGAACCGGGCGAACUUCUUUCCUGCUUCGGUCUACGUCGGAGGAGCUUCUUCGGCGUCUUCUUCCCCGGUCCGGCGCUCCUCCUCCCCGUUCGGCGCCCCAUCUUCUCCCAAGGUGAGGCCGCGCGUCCCCCUUCCUUCCUCCUCCGCGGAGCGGCUCGGACCUCCGUCGUGUGCGUGCGUUCUCUGUUCGUGGCAGCAGCGAGUUAAAUGAUGCGGUCGUAGCGGCUGUUCUGCAAGUAACGCGUUCUUGGGGGUGCCGCGCAGAGGAGGGCUUCCUCCCCCCUCGCAGCAGCAGCGUCGUGGUUAUGGGAACCACCUCGUCGCCGGUUAUGUGGCUUCCUGUCGCCUCGGUCGCGGUAGACGCAGAGCGACAGUGUAGUGUUGGUGCGGUUCCUCCGUCAGUCUAGGGCGCCAUGCGGGCGUGCUCUAGCAGCAGCGGCGGUUCCUUCCCGAGUAGGUGGUUGUUCGUCGUGUGCAAGAGCUCAUCGCCGGAAGCGCAGCUAGCAACGUCGGCUAGGAUAGCCGUCAAGUUCCCUGUCUCCGUCGUUCCCAGAAGACAGGCAGAGGGCGAUUUCAGGUAUCUAUUCCUGUAUGAGAAUCCCCCUCUGUCAGAUACCCCUCCGUAGCCCGAUGGUAGUGUUGUGCUGGCAUAAACUUGCGCCUGUAGGAGGGCGUGGGUUCGAGUCCCCCCCUCGGCGCCUUUUUGUUUGUUUUCCUCGAUUACUUCGGGUCAGUGGCAGUGCAGACAGCUUACCUUGCAUAUCUCCCUUCUCCUGUCAACAAGUAGCGCCGUAGCGUGGGUGUGUGGUGCUGGACACUAGGGGUCUGGGUUCGAAUCCCAGCAGCCCUGUUUCUUUUCGGUUUUUUUUGCAUUCUUUUCUUUUUCCUGCCUACUUAUUUCCUGUUUUCCUAACUCCUACACUUGUGUCUUAUCAGUUUUGUUCCCUGUUGUUUUUUAUUUUUAAAAAAACUCCUACGUAGUGGUGAUUGCUCCUGUUCCUGCUAGAAUGGUGGAAUAGAUAUAGUUGUGAGUAUGUUUUGCACACUAGGGGUGAUAAAUAUUAUUGCUAGCUUGUGAUGUUUAUAGUGGUUGUACCUUAGUGAAGAGGAGCCAACCUUGUUAAGGGCAUGAUGCUAGAUGCCUUGACAAAUAUGGGUGUAGUGUUUGGAGGUGAUCAGUUGCCCUAGCUAAUCUUGCAAAGCCCUAGCUUGUGAACUUUGGUGUGGGCUAAGUUGAACUUGUAGCUUUAUUGUUUUGCAUGGAGUUACUUUGAUGUGGGUGCCUCCCCCUCAUCACAUGUUUUGGUGUGAUGUGAAGAUCUAGGUGACUAUCCACGCUAGCGUGUGAAGGUGUGGAUUGUUGUGGUGGUCGCAUAUUGAGGAUGACAUGAAUACUAGGAAGAUCCUAGUGGUGCUUGUGAGAGUGUGCACCAUCACAUGCCCAUAUGUGGGGGGUGUGCAUACUCUCUUGUUAAUUUAAAGUUUUCUUUUGUGUGAGCUUGAUGCUAGUGCUUGUGAGGAGUUGUGUGUGUUGGAGUUGUUGAUAUGCAUGACACAAACAUGGGGUUCAAACCCCCAUGUCACUUUGUCAUUGUGCACAUGAAACUCUCCUAGGUAAUUGUCAUCUUAAAAGCAUACCUUAUGGAUUUGCAUUUUCAUUUUGUUGAAAGUUUGGGCUUUGCUUCCAUGAUAUAGAUGGAGCCCAAAGGCAUGGAUUUCUGUGUGUAGUAGUAGGGGUUUGUGCUCAACACCAUAGUGGUGACAAACACCUCUUGGGAACUUGUGUGUGCAAACUAUGCCUAGACAAAGUGGGCAUGUGGCUGGAAAAUUCCAGAUUUUUGAACUCUGAAAAUUUCACUAAGUCUGGAAUGCUGAAAACAUUUUCUUCCUCUGUAGAUAAGGUUGUGCUGGUCAUUAUGUUGAGAACUGGACUUAUUUCAGUGCUAGUGUUUUGAACCUGGGAUGCUUGUGAAGCUUCCUGUCAAUUUUCAAGUCAUUUGGAGCCCAGUAGCUUGUGUUUUGAUUGCUGUCAAAAAGCUUCAGAACAGAAACAGAAACUCAGGUGCAGGAAUUUUCACUAAGUCCCUGAGAACUGAUGGUUUUGGGAAAGUUUGUGGCCUUGUAUCUUCUAGAGUUUAAUUCCUUUUGCUGUGAUUCUUGAUGGAGAUUGUAGUGUCCUUGGUUGGCAACAGCCACAUAUAUUAUUUGUCACAUUUGAAGACCUGUAGCUAUGUUGCAUGUUGCUCACAAACAGCUAAGAUGCAGAAACUGGCAGAUUGCGUAGUUUUGACAUUUUGUUCGAAGUUUGUGUUCAAUUGUUGUUGGGGUGUUAUACCUUGCUCCAUUUCAUUCAUGUUGGGUUAAUAUAUGUCUUGGCAACCUGGGAACACCAUAUUUUGUGCCAAUUGUGUGAGUGGUGAUGAAUCUUUCACGUAGGGCUUCAUAUCGUGUUUCGUUGAUUCCCGUUGAUCCGUAGCUCCGUUUGCAAAGUUCCUUAUAUGGUUUUGCACCGUUUUCACGAGAUGCAUCCGUUCAUAUCAUUCCCAUGCAUGUACAAAUAGUUUAGUACAAAGUUCUGUCCAGGAACUUGUUGUAGUUUAUCCUGCUUGUGCUAGUGUUAGAAAUAGUGGUGCAUGCUCAACUUUCAUCUCAUGCAUCAUGUGAUUGUUGCAUUUUGUGGUGCUUCUGUUCAUUGGCUGUUAUUUUGUGUUGGGUAGCACCGGGAGCGGAGACCGAUUACGUGGAGUCAGGAGAGUACGUGCAGGACGAUCCAGAACCAUUCCAAGCUGAGGAUAUCAUAGGCAAGAUGACAUGACCUUGAUCCCAUAUCUAGACUUGUUAUGCUAGUUUCGAUUCCACGUCAUAUUGCUCGCUGCCUACCACUGAAAAUAUAUUGCCUCUUCAUAUGCCAUGAGCCUAAACACCUUACUCUUUCCUAGCAAACUUGCAUGGCUAGGUAGGCUUGCUCAGCUACUAAUGUUAGCAUUGCUAGUUGCAGGUGUUUAUAACUCAUGAGUUGCCAUGAGCUUGAUAUCAUUAUGUUAAUUUCUGUUAUUUAAUUAAUGUACUUAUAUAUUUGGUAAAUGACGGGAGGCCUAGCCUUUUGCCGGGUGUCUUGUUCCGUUAUUGCCGCCUUAGUUACCGGUUACCGGUGUUUGAUUCCAUAAUGAUCGCUCCUAACACGUUCGGGGUUGUUAUGGGGACCCCCUUGAUAAAUCGCGUAGUGUUAAGGCUUGUCCGGCAGGACCCAACUUUGGAUUUAAUCUGCUAAUCACUUAAUAAUAAACUGCAUAGGGAAUAGCUACCCCGAGGAAUCUAAUCAACAACCCGGGCCAGUGCUCCUCAUGAGCGUUGGUCCAAACUUGAGUCGUGUGCGGGGCCAACCCGGGGCAACUCGGGAGAUGUCUAUCAGGCCACCGUACGCAGUGCUCAUCCGGCGUGUCCUGAGAUUGAGAUACGCGGCUCUUAUCAGGGUCGUCGACACGGCGGGAGGUCCUGCUAGCCUUGUCUUACCUUAGCGGUAUAUCUUGCGUAUAGGAACCCCGGUGAGGCUUUGGUUUUCCCCAGAGUUGAGGUUUUCCUCUAAGGAAUCCGACGAGAUCACGAGAUUCGUGAUAGAGGAUGCCUUUGCGGCCUGUGUUCGUUUGUGAUGGACUAGUUGGAGCACCCCUGCAGGGUUUAAUCUUUCGGAAAGCCGUGCCCGCGGUUAUGUGGCAACUUGGAAUAUUUUGUUAACAUCCGGUAUUAGAAAACUUAAACAUAAACUAAUAAAAUAUGCCAACUGUGUGCGUAACCGUGACUGUCCCUUCGAAGAUCUCUCUUCGAUCGGGAACACGGUGGGGUUAUGAAUGCCGUAGGUAGGUGUUCAGGAUCACUUUCUGAUCAAGUAUUCACGAUCGUUAGUAUAGAACACUGUCACUUCUCCUUUGCGUAAGCUAGCCACUUAUUCAACCUUAGGAUGCAGCAGCCUGAAACACUUCACCCCUUCCUUACCCAAUAACAUGACUAGUUAUGGCACCAAGGUCUUAGAUUGCUGAGUCCCCGUGGCUCACGGAUUCCUCCGAAACUCCCAGCAGGUACAGGUACCCCAGAGGCAGAUGAUCCCGACGGCACCCAGCUGGCGUGGCAGUACGACGAGGAGACAGAUCGCCUUUACGUGAACUAUCCAGAGGACUGAGCCGUAGUCGUGAUCGUGGGCCUGCAGCGGGUAGCAUAGCAUUUUCCUUGUUUUGUAGUCCGUACCGGAACUACAUUGAUUGUAUCUGCGUUGUACUCUGUGUUUUUAAUAAGAAGACAGUUGAAUCCCAGAUUGUCUACUUUAUUUAUUAUUAUGUGCUAUGUUUACUUGCUUGCAAAACACUUAGAUGCGCUUCUUUCCUAUUCGGGGCCUCGACCCCCAGAUCGGAAAGGACCGCAUUUUGGUCGUUACACGUCUCUUGCUCCCUAUUCCAAAGCUUGCAAAGGCCACAGUUUGGCACCCACGUCGCUCCAGACAAUCGGCGGUCCAAAUUCGAUCUUGCAACGUGAGCCACGCAAAAAAUUUAACCUUUGGACGUGCGCAUGCCUUCCACACCAUGCGAUCCAAGGGGGAGAGGGUCAUGACUAGGAAUUGAACCCUGUAAGCAGUGGCCGCCGUGUAGAUUCUAUCGUUCGCAUGCUUCCAAAUGAUGAUAUCUUCGGCUUGCUCAUGAACGUGGACAUCAUUCAGGAGUGCGCAAAGCAUGAAAAUUUUUCGAAUGUGAGCGAUGGAGACAAGCGUGUUGUGAUUUAUUUUGAAAAUCCAUGCAUUCCCGCCAAGAGCCUCACAGACCUUCCAAUUUUUCCUUUUUGAUGCCUCAAAGAUGAGUGGUGCAAUAUCCUUAGCUUUGCGACCAAGAAGCCAAGGGGAAUCCCAAAAAGGCGUUUUUGCGCCAUCCCCAAUGAUGAUUGUCGUUGAGGCGUAGAAGAAGUUGAUGUCCUCCUUGCUGCACGGGUUUCCAAGGCCAACCCAUAAUCUGCGCGGCUCAUUCCAUUCAUACCAUAGCCACCGGAGUCACAGAGCAUGUGCAAACUUGUCAGUGUUGAGUACCCCGAGGCUACCAUAUUACUUUGGUCGAAAGACCACCUUCCAGUUGACCUUGCACUUGGCACCCGUUGUUUUGUCCGAGCUGGACCAAAGGAAAGGCUCUCAAUUUUGUUAAGGUUGUCCAACGAAUUCUAAGGCACAAUUAGGGGAGUGAUGGAGAACACAGCUUGGGAGGAGAUGACCGAUCUGAGAAGUGUUGUACGUCCAAUGGUAGUGAUGCUCUGGCCCUCCCAAGUAAUCAAUUUUCCGGCCGCCUUUUCCUCAAGGUAUUGAAAAUCCACCUUUUUAAAUCGCCGCACUCAGAGUGGCAGCCCAAGGUAUUUGAGUGGAACACUGGCAUGUGUAGCAGGCAUGCUCUGAAGAAUUUGCUGAAGAUCAAUGUGAUUGCAAAGGAUGGGCACAACUGAGCUUUUUUGGACGUUGGAACAGAGGCAUGUUGUAAAUUCCAAGAUGCGACUCUUUCCUUAUUUGGGGACGAGGCCUCAAAAGGGAAAAUGAACGCAUCUAAGCAUUUCGCAAGAACGGUAAACAUUGCAUUACAUACAAGAAGAGAUGAGUAUAUGAGUUGGCUUACACUCGCCACAAAUUAAUUUACAAAUCCAUUCAACAUUUAUCCAAGCAUUCAUAAGGCAGGGUCCGACUACGGACAAGAUAAACAACAAAAUAGCAAUGUUCCCGCCUCGCUGGGCCCAAGAGACGACCAAGGUCCUCUAAUCGUUGGGGUACGUCACGUACAUACGACCACUGCUCUCGUCGAACUCCCACUCCGGCUGAGUAGCAUCGAAAGCAUUUGGAUUUGCUGCAUCUGUACCUAUGAGGUGGUUGUAGUAAUCUGUGAGCCACAAGGACUCAGCAAUCUCAUGACCAUGAUAGCGAGUCUAACCAAGUUAUUGGGUGAGGAUGGGGUAUGCGUUUGAGUUUGCAGCAGCACUAAGCAUUUAUGGUGGCUAACUUACAAGAACAUGAAGUAGUUUGAGUGGUCUAGGCUUGAUGGUCGUGAACUAAGAAUAAUCACUAAGUGAUCCUGAACACCUACUUAAGUCACUCAUAACCCCAUCGUGUUCUCCAUCAGAGAAGAAGCUUUGAAGGAAAGAGUCACGGUUACGCACACAGUUGGCAGGUUUUAAUUAAGUUAUUUCAAGUUAUCUAGAACCGGGUGUUAAACAAAGUUUCCAUGUUUGCCACAUAACCGCAGGCACGACUUUCCAAAAGAUUUAACCCUGCAGGGGUGCUCCAACCAAUCCAUCACAAAUUACCACAAGCUACAUAGAAAGUCUCGAUCACGAAACUCAUGAUCUCCUAGGAUUUCUUAGUGGAAAACCUCAACUCUGAGUUAGCCCAAAGCAUCACCGGAAACCCGAUGCACAAGAUAUAUUGUUUAGGUAAAACAAGUCCAGCAAGACCACCUCACGUGUCGACGAACCCGAUAAGAGUCGCGUAUCUCAGUCUCAUGACACGACGGAGAAGCUAGUGUACAGGGCCAGAUAGAGAUCUCCAAGUUUUCCUGGGUUGGCCCCGCACAGUGCUCUAGUUUGGACCAACACUCAUGAGGAGCACUGGCCCCAGGGGAGGGUUGAUUAAGUUCCUCGGGGUAGAUAUUCCCUAUGCAUUUUAAUUAUUAAGUUUUUAGCAAAUAUAGUACCAAAAUUGGGUCUUGCCAUACAAGCCUUAAGACUAAACGAUUUAUCAAGGGGGUCCCCAUAACAAUCCCGAGCGUGUUAGGAGCGCUCAAUUAUGGAAUAAAAUACGAGUAGCCGAAACUAAGGCGGCAAAAGCGGAACAAAUCACCGGGCAUAAGGUCAGGCCUUCUGCCUUUUACAAAGUAUACAUGCGCAUUAAUUAAAUAGCAUUAAAUAAUAUGAUAAUCAAAUUGCCCAUGUUAUCACAUGGACCAGCUUGCACCUGCAACUAGCAAUGCUAUAAGAUGGUUGAACAAGCACUAACUUAGCCAAACAAUAUUAGCUAGAAGGUGAAGGGUUAGAGGUUUUCAUGGCAAUGUAUCAAGGCCUAAUAUUCAGGUGGUAGGCAGCGAGAAGUAAAGGUGGAAAUGAUUCAUCUACGCAUAACAAAGUUAGAAACAUUAUCACGUCAUAAUCAUCUUGCCUAUUGGAUCUUCAAACUAGAACUGCUCUUGCUCUUUCUGAACGUACUCGAUGGAAGCCUCGCACUCGUUCUCCGCAUCCACUGCUACCCAAAAUAAAUAAGCAUCCAAUAAACACUAGCAAGUAACAAUGCUACAAACAAUAUGACGCAUGGGUGUGGCAUGAAAGGAAAACAUGGCAUUGCUACACUAGUCAUCUUUGCAUGCAUUUCUUAAGUUAUUAGCAUUCUGUACAGAACCUCAAGUUCAAUUAUUUAGACAUGCAUGAACAUGGUAGAAAUGGAUGCAUCACGAGAAAACGAUGCAAAAACAUAUAAAGAACAUCGCGAACCGAGUUACUGAACUCUCGGAAACCACAAAACAAGAUACGGAAGGCUACGGAGACAAAACAACAAUAUACCACGGGCUAUGGGCAUCCUCUUGGGAUUCCAAGGUUGCCACUGGACUGAGCACAAACUUCCAGGUGGAAUGGACCUAAAAAUCAUGCAAUUUCGUCAAGCACAACUCACACAAAGCCCAAAACAAAAUAGCAAGCAAUCUGUCCACUAACAGCAUCGUACCACUUUGUUCAAAAGAAAUAUAGUAGCUACAGUCAACCGACUAAUUCAACCAAGGCAUGGAAUUGAAGCUUUCAAACAGUACAACAACACCUAACCAAUAGCUAAUUCACUAGGUGCAAGAAUCUCUCGCUACCAAGCUCUAAACAUGGCAAAAAUUAUAACACUUCAGGACUUAGUGAAAAUCACAGAUUUUCACUGGCAGUUAACAACCUGAAGCAUAUUGACAGCAAUAAAAUACUAUGCUACAGCAAACCUCAUGGCAUGAAAUUUAGGGCCAGUUCUUUUGGUGGCUUUUUUGAGCUUCUAGAAGCCCAACCAAACAUAUUUUUUGGAAGCCUACUAGUCAAGUCUUAAUUAGUAGACUUCUAAAAAAAUAAAUUUGGUUGGGCUUCUAAAACAAGCAGGGUAGAGGUAGCUUAUUCCAGCUUAUUCUAGAAGCCAACAAAAGAACUGGCCCUUAAGAGGAUGAUAGAGGACAACAUAUACUUCAAAACACUAGCAGUGAGCUUGGGCUAAAUCCCCACACAAUACUUAAUAGCACCGGUCUAACAUGGAAAGAAAUUAACUACAAAAUCUCACACUUAGAGAGAGAAAACAAGUAAAACAAUGAGCAACUUAUAUCAGCAUAGCAACUUUGACAAUGAAUAAAACUAUGAUGCAAGACCCUAUUGACAAACUUGACGCACCAAAUUGUAGAGGAUAUCAAGCAGAACAAAUCAUGUCACUUGAGCAAACUCAAAAGAGCAACAUAUCCAUGGGGAUCAUCAUCACAACAAGGGAAGAAAAUAAUAGUCCCCAACACUUACAAAAAUUCUAGCAUGUGAAUCUGGAAUAAUUUCUUAGCUACUUAACAACAAGGUAUCCACUCAUCUACAAGUUUAUCAUGGCAAACAAAAAUAUCAGGGCCUAGUACCCUCAAAACACUAGCACUUUCAUGUUGACACUAACUCCAAAGCAUGCCUAGAAUAAAUACUACAAAAUUCACAAAAUGCCACCUCAUCACAAAAUAUCACUUUUGCAAACUUGCUCAAAAGACAAAUCCAAUGAUACCAUUCGAUUCCUUGGAUUUUUCUACCCCAAAAUCAUAAUCAUACCUAUAUAUUUCUAUGGAGAAAACAACCACAAAACAGAAAUGAAAAUCACUCCCAAUUCCUAUUUGAUUUACUAGCAAAAGGGCCCGUGCGUUGCAACGGGAGAAAAAAAUACCACACACUUUUAAUCUUUUUAUAAUCAUUUUCAUUUAUUAAAAUAAUAAGCUAACUAACUAAUGUAGUCAGUCCUAUCCUAUUUUGUUGAGAAAUCAACCCAUCCAUUGUUAAUUCCACCAUGAUGAGAAAUUGAGCGGGACAAGCAAAGCAAAACAAAGAGGCUACGUGAAUUGAUCAAUGGAUUGCUAUCUUAUUUCACUCAUGGGGUAGAGAAUGUGGGAUCAGAUGACAAACUGAAGGUGGUGUUCCAUUCUCUGUCUAUACAACAAUACAAUCUUACAUUCAAUACAUUCAUUCAUCAGCAAACAAAUCCCCACAAAAUAAAAUUUCUUGCCGGUGCUUGGCACACUGUUGGAGGCAUGAGGAGGGGAUCUCACCAGAUGAUGAGUUCCUGCCGGAGGAGGGGAUACGAUGAGGGGAGCAAGGGUUAGGCGCCUCUAUCUGGCCAUAAGGAGUCGCCGUUGCCGCGCCAUAACCUCGGAGUUCCCCGUGUGAGCCAUGGAGGCCCGCCUCCACCUGCAAGUACUUCCCUCCGCCGUUCUGCAUCAAGCAGACGCAUCAUCCCCAGUCACUGUAGAUGUCGCGUUGAUUUGAUCCAGAAGCUGUGCUCGAGCGUCGAAACGGGGGCAGCAAGCGGGAAGAGGUACGGCCUUGGAGGCGGGUGGGUUGAGGUCGACAACAGUGGUGGUUGAGGUCGGCCGCGGCAGCGAGUGGUGUGGCAGCGGCCUGGGCACACGUCAGGGUGGACCAGGGUCGACGUGAUGCGCUCGAGCGCCGCAACGGGGGCAGUGAGCGGGGAGAGGUACGGCCGCGGAGGCGGGUGGGUUGAGAUCGGCAGCGGUGGCAGUUGAGGUCGGCCGCGGCGGCGAGUGGUGUGGCGGCGGCCUGGGCACAGUCCAGGGUGGCCCAGGGUCGACGGGAGGAGGCGAUGCGUACGGGUAUAAUUUUUGCAGCGAAUCGUUUUUCCUUUUGCGUUGCAGAUAAAUGAUGGAGCGCGGGUUGAAUAACAAAAAUUACAACGGGAGAAAGAAAUACCACACGGCACACGCUCUUAAUUUAUAAAAAAUGUCUAUAAUUUAAGAAUUUAUAGUUACGAUACAAAUAAAGAUGGUCUUAUCCUAAAAAAUGCAGUUCAAAAUUUCACAGGUCUCCUAUUUUAACACGGCUUGCAUGUAGAUUUAAUACGUACAAAGAAUCAGUCAAGUGACCUUCAGUUUCAUCUCUAAUCCUGAUUUUGUUGACGUGUUCAUUCCCAACCCGGAUGAGUACCGGUAUGAAAGAAAGACGAAUAAUGACUUAUUUAUUAAGAUUGCACCCUAGAUAGUAUUUUUAUUAAACGUUUAACAGAUAAAAUAAUAUCAUAUUUAAAUUCUACAUAUUUUUCUAAUCAAAUUCCAUGUAUAAUAUGUUAAAUUUAGAGUUACGGUUUAAAAGAUAUGAGUAUUUAAAAAAAUAUUUAAUAUAUACUACGAGUUUAAUGUCAUAACCAGUAAGGGCAUUUUUGUAAAAUCACCUCGGUGGGUUUUCCGACGGAAGCGAUAGCCUCUUUAUUAUUAGGUAAAGAUAAGUCACGUCAGCCCAAUUUGGCAUAUGCCAAAUAUGGCAGGUUCCAUAUUUAGAAAAUUCCAAAUAUGACAAGUUCUGGUUACAUACAGAAAAAAAAAGGGAGGUCCCACUGGGAGUGAGCCAGGGCCCCUAAGAGAAUGACAUGUGGGCCCCUGGGCCCACUGUGAGUGCCUCAACAUGGGUUGCAGGUUGCAAAAAAUGGGGUUUUAUAGCGCGUCGGGGGAGAUCGAACCUCCCAUGGCGCUUCGGGGCUCGGCGCGGCUCGAUGCCACUACGCUAGGAAGGGGGUCUGUACCCAUUGUUAAUUCCACCAUGAUGAGAAAUUGAGCGGGACAAGCAAAGCAAAACAAAGAGGCUACGUGAAUUGAUCAAUGGAUUGCUAUCUUAUUUCACUCAUGGGGUAGAGAAUGUGGGAUCAGAUGACAAACUGAAGGUGGUGUUCCAUUCUCUGUCUAUACAACAAUACAAUCUUACAUUCAAUACAUUCAUUCAUCAGCAAACAAAUCCCCACAAAAUAAAAUUUCUUGCCGGUGCUUGGCACACUGUUGGAGGCAUGAGGAGGGGAUCUCACCAGAUGAUGAGUUCCUGCCGGAGGAGGGGAUACGAUGAGGGGAGCAAGGGUUAGGCGCCUCUAUCUGGCCAUAAGGAGUCGCCGUUGCCGCGCCAUAACCUCGGAGUUCCCCGUGUGAGCCAUGGAGGCCCGCCUCCACCUGCAAGUACUUCCCUCCGCCGUUCUGCAUCAAGCAGACGCAUCAUCCCCAGUCACUGUAGAUGUCGCGUUGAUUUGAUCCAGAAGCUGUGCUCGAGCGUCGAAACGGGGGCAGCAAGCGGGAAGAGGUACGGCCUUGGAGGCGGGUGGGUUGAGGUCGACAACAGUGGUGGUUGAGGUCGGCCGCGGCAGCGAGUGGUGUGGCAGCGGCCUGGGCACACGUCAGGGUGGACCAGGGUCGACGUNNNNNNNNNNNNNNNNNNNNNNNNNNNNNNNNNNNNNNNNNNNNNNNNNNNNNNNNNNNNNNNNNNNNNNNNNNNNNNNNNNNNNNNNNNNNNNNNNNNNGUCGGGUUAGUUAGUUCUCUGCCACCCAUGGGAGGUCCUUGGCUUAUUAAUGGUGAUUCAACGGAAUUUACGAGGCUAGAAUCAUCGCAUCACAUGUAGGUUUAUUGCAGCGAUCGACGUAGCACCUCUCUGCGAAAUUUAWWAAAAACGUUUGAUGGCUUUUUUGAACGUCAUUACAUAUGCAAGCGUUUAUAUACAUGCACAUACAUUCACCCUAUGAAUGCACACACGUACACCUGAAUUUUUGUCUAAAAAAUCCACUAGCCGAGUGCUAUUGUCAAAAGGACCACAUGUGGUAUGGAUUGUCAGAAAAGACCCCCACAUCUUAUGGCGACAGGCGCGCCAGGUGCCACGCGUCACCUGGCGCGCCUGCCGCCAUAAAAUAAGGGGGGUCUUCUCUGGCAUUCCAUACCACAUGUGGUUUUUUUUGACAAUAGCACUCGGCUAGUGGUUUUUAACAAAAAUUCCGUACACCUUACCCCUAUGAACAUCUUCGAAAGAUCGAACCGGUAUAUCAUCUUAAGAUUUACCAAGUCAUCGCAGACACCUCGUCGUUGAAAACGUUUGAUAGGUGAUGUGAAAAUAAAACACGUCGUGGUCGUAUGAAUCCGUACACAUACGCCGGGCACCGGAGCGGACGGGCGGGCAGGCGACUUUUUAAAAUAAAACUAUCGUGCCUUUUCUAACGAAGGGGUAUAGAUAAUCCCAGCCAUCUUUGUGUUAGGGAUGAAAGAAAACAAAGAUGAUACGAGAAAUGCAUUAAUUUACAGAAGCCGUGGUUAAGUUUAGGAAUCUCACGCUCGACCCACUGUUGUUGCUGCCAGUUACAACGACACCAUUCAGAUAUAUCNNNNNNNNNNNNNNNNNNNNNNNNNNNNNNNNNNNNNNNNNNNNNNNNNNNNNNNNNNNNNNNNNNNNNNNNNNNNNNNNNNNNNNNNNNNNNNNNNNNNGGGGCCCGUGCUUACGUGGAUAAGUUGUGGGUCCAACUCCAUAUAGCUAAUGAGGGCAUCAGUUCAUAUUAAGGGCCAUGUCGUGUGUGGGAUAUUUCCUCGGUCAGAAACGUCGCACUGAGGCAAUUCAGACGAACGACGUCGCACUCCUUCCAAUUCACCUCAAAAACCUCGCACAUGAGCCAUUGACCCGCCAUGCUCCGUUGUUUCUUCCUUCUGAUUUUCUGGACCAGGUACGCUGCUUGAUUGCCAGCACGACGCGCAUCGUCUCCUAGUUUUUUUAAGGGGAGGGGGGGUGAAAUGAGAUGGCAUUAUAAUUAAGUAAUGUUGUUACGCUCGUCAUCUACUGGCUCGUCCCAAAAUUCUUUUCUUAAUGCGCGUUGCCAUGCUCCGUUGUUUAUUCCUUCUGAUUUCCUGGACCGAGUGCGCUGCUUGAUUGCCAGCACUACACGCAUCAUCUCUAGUUUUUUAGGGGGGAGGGUGAAAUGAGCUGGCAUUAUAAUUAAGUAAUGUUGUUACGCUCGUUAUCUACUGGCUCGUUCCAAAAUUCUUGUCUUAAUGCGCGUUGCCAUGCUCCGUCGUUUCUUUCUUCUGAUUUCCUGAACCGAGUACGCUGCUUGAUUGCCAGCACUACACGCAUCGUCUCAGUNNNNNNNNNNNNNNNNNNNNNNNNNNNNNNNNNNNNNNNNNNNNNNNNNNNNNNNNNNNNNNNNNNNNNNNNNNNNNNNNNNNNNNNNNNNNNNNNNNNNACACAGGACCGACGCCGACGCCAUGGAAGCUCGCUGCUCUGACCGCUUCUUCUUCUCCACCACUAAGUCAGAUUCCUCCCUCUUGUGUUCAUCAUCAUUGUGUUUCACUUAGUGGUUUUCCUGAUGCAUUGGUGCUUACUUGUGUGCAGUUUGAGAUCGACAAGUCCAAGAUGCAUCAAGGCAGAAACAUUCACAAUAGCAAGUCCUCCACCGGCUGCUGCUUCCCUCCACCUUGACAUCCCAUCAACGUCCCUGUGCAGCUGUACAUUUUACAAUGUCUGAUGUAAGACAAAAUUAAUAUGUAGAGCAGAUAAAACGGGGUAAUUAGUAGAGUUCAUUAUGGUAAAUGGGCAUGCUGUUCCUUGGGCAGCUGCACAAUUUAUUUGGAUCUGCCAAUUUUCUAUUAAGAGAGCAGAAGGUUGUGGUGUCACCUGCGAAUGCUUGUAAGGACCUCCUUAAAGGCAGACACGACCAGCUCGGCACAAGAGCUGAAGGUUGAAGAUGAAUCCGAGCCUUAGAUUUCAACUAAUGGCAAGUANNNNNNNNNNNNNNNNNNNNNNNNNNNNNNNNNNNNNNNNNNNNNNNNNNNNNNNNNNNNNNNNNNNNNNNNNNNNNNNNNNNNNNNNNNNNNNNNNNNNCUCAUUCCUGUGGAUGCUCGCGUACUCCUUUGCACCAGAAGCAUGUCGAUUUUAUGUGGUCGAGCACGUCGAACAGAUCCGAGUACAAACGAACGUACUAUGCAUCCUGGCCAUGUUUGGGAACGCGUAGGCCAUCCCCGGUGGCCACCGGAAUUCAGAGAACUCGUAGANCGGGCAUGGCGCACGUCUGCAGCCACAUGGACGCGGACGUGCCGAUGGCGUCCGAGAACUCAUGAACACAUAUAGGUCAAGCGGCUCCAAAUCCCUAAUAAGCGAAGUAACACAUAUAUAGGUAGCGCUCAUAGGCCCAUACCAUCAUACGUACAUUAUCAAAGACCUUCAAAAGGGAGAAUCAUAUGCCAUAUUAAUAUGUCACGUGCAAACAAAUCAAGAACAUAAUAAGGAUAGUAUUAUUACGUUGGAGGUAUUAGGCCCAGCCGCUUCUUGCUCCAGGUACACCAGGCCUCCAUCUCUUUUUCCGUCUUCUAAAACUGUGUUGAUCCACGCAGGAACUGACGCAUGAAGAACAUGCGAGUGGCACCAUCUAGACGGAGGAGCUACUUGCCUACUUGAGAAAAACAACAGGGGAUCCAAAUCAGAAUAAAUUCGAACGUAAUUUUUCUAUCACAUACAAACUCCUUACUACAAGAACAAAAUAAGAAUCCUAUUAUGUUGGUGGCAUUAGGCCAAUCGACUCCUUGCUGCAGGUCAUCUUCAUGUCAAGACGCAAGAACAUGUGUGGGGCAUNNNNNNNNNNNNNNNNNNNNNNNNNNNNNNNNNNNNNNNNNNNNNNNNNNNNNNNNNNNNNNNNNNNNNNNNNNNNNNNNNNNNNNNNNNNNNNNNNNNNAACGCGCAUUAAGAAAAGAAUUUUGGGACGAGCCAGUAGAUGACGAGCGUAACAACAUUACUUAAUUAUAAUGCCAUCUCAUUUCACCCCCCCCCCCUUAAAAAAACUAGAGACGAUGCGCGUCGUGCUGGCAAUCAAGCAGCGUACCUGGUCCAGAAAAUCAGAAGGAAGAAACAACGGAGCAUGGCGGGUCAAUGGCUCAUGUGCGAGGUUUUUGAGGUGAAUUGGAAGGAGUGCGACGUCGUUCGUCUGAAUUGCCUCAGUGCGACGUUUCUGACCGAGGAAAUAUCCCACACACGACAUGGCCCUUAAUAUGAACUGAUGCCCUCAUUAGCUAUAUGGAGUUGGACCCACAACUUAUCCACGUAAGCACGGGCCCCAAUUGUAAGUGCAUCAGGUCAAACGUAUCCCCGUGCCUGUUUGAAUGAGUAUCCCUGUCUGAACCUGUGUUGCUCCCUCCUCUUUGUUCCCGGUGGUGAGCCAGCGGCGGCGGCGGAGCUUUUGUUCUGGGUGACAGCAGUGGCGGCGCUUUCAUUCUCGGCGACGUCGGCGGCUGUGGUGAGAGCACCCUCUGUUUUCCUCUGUUCUCGAGUUCGAGCUCGAGGAAUACACAGAAGGCCCUUGUCGCGGCGGUGGCGUUCGUGCGCUUGAGAAUCCACUCGGUUCAUCUUCCUCCUCUCCGGUCGUGUCUGCGGCGAUCACCGGCGAGCCGCGAUUCCAUUUUGUCCUAACAUUUGGUAUCAGAGCGAGGGUGAGAGGGGGAGGUUGCCGGCCAUGGCGCUUGUUCCGGCUGCUUCACUCUCAUUGCAGGUUUAUAUAUCAAGCCAUCCAAAAAGUCACCACUCACAUCUGCAAACUUGAGACCAGCGGCUUAUCCUUCUUGGCGAUCACCACCAACGCCGCGUCCUCCGACGGCACCACCGCCUCCCAGAGACCGGCGGCAUCCAGGUCGGCCUCCACCUUGAUGGCCCAGGUGGUGAAGUUCUCCCCUGUGAGGAAGGGAACCGACGUAGCCAUCGCAUUCCCCGAUCCACCAGAGUACGGCAUGAGCGCCAUGGCCGGUGACCUCCCCCUCUCACCCUAGCUCUGAUGCCAAAUGUCAGGGCAAAAAUGGAACCGCCACGCUCCGGCGAUCACCCGAGACAACAAGCAAACGCGAGAGCGACGACGCCCAGGGUUCCCUGGUGCACAAACACCUUGUCGGAUCAGAGAAGGAAGAAGAACACGGACACGGCGAGGUGGUUUUCCCGGCGCUCGAACUCCCUUCCUUGAGCUCAGACUCAACACACACACUCGCCAGCAAGCUACACAACAGAGAUUUAUACCCGCGAGCACUUCCUUCACACAGCAUCCUGCUGGACAAAAUCUUAGAAGAAUUACUAGGAAUAAUUGGCUAAAUAAAAUGAGCUCAACAUUUGUUUAGAGAGGUUUUAUAGGUAGGAGAAUGUCCUGGUAAAAUUUGUCAAUUUAUGGAGCAACAUAAAACAUAGUUGCUUCACAAUCCAAAAUAAUGACGAGAGACAAAGAUUUGAUGCUAUGGUCACAUGGUUGAAGGAGUGAUGCUCAAAUUUGUAAAAGAGGCAUUAUUUAAGCAUUUUGAGAUGAUGGCAAAGUUUCAACGCAUUUGAACACUCCUAGCUAGCACUUGCUUCACAGAGCAUCCUUUGGAUCAGAAACUUUGGAAAUUUGCCAAGAAAUAUUUACUAGCUAAAUUGAGUUGAAUUUUGGCAUGAGGCAAUGAUAUGGAUAGGAGAAUGUCCUGGUAAAAUUUCAGAAUUUAUGGAGCAACAUAAAACAUAGUUGCUUCACAAUUCAAAACAUAAAACAUAGUUGCUUCACAACUUUGACCAAAUAAAGCACAGCCCACGGAUCGCUGGCGUGGCCCUACUUCCUGAUGCAGAUCGUUCAUUCAUGGCGAUCCAAUGGUCCGGACAGGUGUGGGGUUUUGAUGGNNNNNNNNNNNNNNNNNNNNNNNNNNNNNNNNNNNNNNNNNNNNNNNNNNNNNNNNNNNNNNNNNNNNNNNNNNNNNNNNNNNNNNNNNNNNNNNNNNNNAGGGGUUUGACCCCUCUAGUACUAACCACUAGGGGCUCCGGCUGCAGCUACCGGUAGAGGCCAGAUCGACGGUGUCGGCGAGCUCUCCGACGACCAUCGGGGCCAGGAGCGGCCACGGCAGGGCGGAGCACGGCGAGCUGCUGCUGUCGGCCAUGGCAGACACUGGCGACAGCGCCACCUACUGCACGGAAUUGACGAGGGGGGCAACGGGCUCGCCUCGCGGCCUGCAGCCGAGGUACUGCCAUCGAGGGAGGAGGUUGUGUCAUCGAGGAAGAACCGAAGAAGACGGGGCGAUGGCGAGCUGCUGCGGUGAAGAAGCCUCCCGAGACGAUGGCGGGGACGAGGUCGCCGACGGGGAUGCGGCCGCCCGCUCCUAGCGCCGGGAACGGAGCGAGAGGACAACCCUCGAUCUCUUGGCCAUCUCCGACGGAGUGAGGAAGGCCACCGACGGCGACGACAAAGAGGGGAAGGCCGGUGACACUUGUUUUCUCUCUGUGAACCUUUGUGUCUUGGAGAGACUUACCGUCAGGAGGGAGAAGAGAUGGAGAGGGAGGAGAGGUGGCAGCAUGAGGAGGGCGAGGGGGAACCCUAGGGCUGCGAGCCAGAUAAAUGGGGGCCCGCCUCGACGUCUGUGAAGGCCUCACGGCGACGGUGGUGCCCUCUCUGCUCGUUGUCCCCGACGAAAAGGCGACGGCGAACCUGACGGAGCAGGUAGGCGUGAGGAGAGAGAGUUGGGCCGGUGCGGAGGCGCUGCUCGGCUGCUGUGGGCUAGGCCUGGAGAGGGGAGAUGCCCAACUGGCUGGCUACCUCUCUCUUUCUGUUAAAACAAAAGUUUUCCUUUUGUUUUAAACAGGUGCUAAAGAAAAUAUAAACACCACUGAUUUGAGAGAGGUAAAGGAAAAUAAAAAUUCUUUUGGACACACAAAAAUGGGCUCUAUUUUAUAAAAAAAGCUUUGGCAUUUUAGAGCAAACAAAAAUAAACACAUAUAACUAACAUGGGCUCUAUGUUACAAAAACUACCAAAAGCAAAAACACCACAGAAUACCAAGUGAUACAUUCAAAAUCCACAACAGAAUAUUAGUGGAAGUUCCAACAUUUUUAUUUGGCAUAAGGAGGCACUUCUAUCACAGCUUCUAAAAUAAAAAGAAGAAGAGGGUUUUUCCCUAUUUGAUGCAACAAUGGUUGGAAGGGAAAAGGAAUAAGGUGGGGGUCAUCACACUAGAAACCACAUAGCACAACAAAACCCACAUCACACUUCACCAAAUAAGAUGCAACACACAGAUGUGAUGAUGAUGAUGCCAUGAUGCAAAAAGGGAUGGAAAGCAAAAAUUAUUUCAUUUCAAACACAUGACAUGCCAAAGUUGGAAGGUGCCACACAUGGAAGGUUACAUAAUGGAAAGGGGUGCACUUGGGUUAUUACACAUGUAACCUCCCCAAAGCCCCUCAUGAUAGGUGUGAGGUUGUCAAUGUCCCGCUUGAUGGGAGAUACAAAUACCGCCGCGUCAUCCGCAUAAAAGGGAGGUUCGCACCGUGAUACGUCUCCAACGUAUCUACUUUUCCAAACUCUUUUGCCCUUGUUUUGGACUAUAAUUUGCAUGAUUUGAAUGGAACUAACCUGGACUGACGCAAUUUUCAGCAGAAUUGCAUUGGUGUUAUUUUUGUGCAGAAAUCAAAGUUCUCCAAACGUCCUGAAAAUUUAAGGGGGACAGUUUUGGAAAAUAUCAAAAAUAUCUGUGCCAAGUUCCACCUCAGGGGGUGGGCCAGUGGUCCACAAGCCCCUGCUCCGCCACCACCCCCCUGGUGGCGGUGGGUAGGCUUGUCGGGCCCACAGGCACCUGCCGCCCCCAACUCCAGCUCUAUAAGUUGUCUUUCGUCCUAGAAAAAAUAAAGAGAGAAGUUUUUAUCGCGUUUUUGAUAUGGAGGCGCCGCCACCACCUGUUCUUCAUCUGGAGGGCAGAUCUGGAGUCCGUCUUGGCCUCCGGAGAGGGGAAAUCGUCUCCAUCGUCAGCAUCAACCUUCUUCCCUCUCCAAUUCCAUGAAGCUCUUCGUCGUUCGUGAGUAAUCUAUUCGUAGGCUCGCUAGGCGGUGAUGAGUAGGAUGAGAUCUAUCAUGUAAUCGAGUUAGUUUUGAUGGGGAUUGAUCCCUAGUAUCCACUAUGUUAUGAGAUUUGAUGUUGCUACUACUUUGCCAUGCUUAAUGCUUGUCACUAGGGCUCGAGUGCCAUGAUUUCAGAUCUGAAAUUAUUAUGUUGUCACCAAUAUAUGUGUUUUUUAGAUCCGAUCUUGCAAGUUGUAGUUACUUACUAUGUGUUAUGAUCCGGCAAUCCCGGAGUGACAAUAACCGGAACCACUCCCGGUGAUGAUCAUAGUUUGAGGAGUUCAUGUGUUCACCAACUGCUAAUGCGUUGGUCCGAUUCUUUAUUAAAAGGAGAACUUUAAUAUCCCGUAGUUUCCUUUUGGACCCCCCUGCCACGGGAGGGAUGGACAAUAGAUGUCAUGCAAGUCCUUUUUCCUAAGCACGUAUGACGACACACGGAAUGCCUGCCCACAUCACAUUGACGAACGGGAGCUAGCCACAUAUCUCUCCGUGUUAUAGCUGUUGCAUGAUGAAUAUCAUCCAAACAAAUCACCGACCCAUUGCCUACGAGUUUGUCCUACUACUGCUGUUACUUGUCUUGCUCUGCUGCUGCUACUAUUGUUGCUACUGCUGUUACUUGUCUUGCUCUCCUGCUGCUGCUACUACUGUUGCUACUGAUGUUACUUGUCUUGCUCUGUUGUUGCUGCUGUUACUGUUUCUACUACUGUCGCUUGCUACUGUUGCUACUUGCUACUGCUAUCACUACUGUUGUUCCUUGCCACUCCUAUUGCUCGUUACACUGCCGUUACUCGUUACUUUGCUGUUACUAUUGUGCUUGCAGAUACUAAUCUUUCAGAUGUGGUUGAAUCCGACAAAUUCAGCUGCUAAUACUUGAGAGUAUACUCUCACCUCCUGACGUGCAAACCAACAAAUUGGAUCGAAUACUCUACCCCCGAAAACUGUUGCAAACCCACACGCUGGUGAGCCAUCAACAACAUUCUUCAGUUUCAUUGCCGGGGAGUGCUAGCAGCAUUUUUCUGGUGUCGUUGCAGGAGAAGGUUCGUUCUCAUAAGCAUUCGUCUAGCUAACACUAGAGAUUGUAGGAUCAACCCUUUUCUGGAGCCAUUUUUAGAGGAAUUAGCUAAUUUUUGACGCGUAUAUUUAGGAACGGAGGGAGUAGAAAAAUAGUUGCAUGGCAUUUUUUAGAGGAAUUAGCUAAUUGAGGAUAUGUAACCUGCCAUGGCAUUUUUAUUAAUUAGAACAUGUCAUUUUUACUAAUACACAUAAGAAUAUUAUGUACCCAGGCAAAAGAGUGUACACGAUUGAGACAUAUAACAUUCAUAUGUAGAAAGAAGAAUUACUAAGAAAAAAUAUUAUGCAUUUGAACCAAGGAAUACAGUUGGAUGAACUAUUUUUUUAUGGAAAGGUAGUGGCUACACCUAAGUUCGGUGCACCUCAUGAUGAUCAAUAAAAUCNCAAACUCCUUCAAUCCUCUUGAAUCCACACGCAACCGAACAAGGCCUGAACGUUCUUUGCCUAGAUAUCUGGUUUCACCAAUCCACAAGUAGGACAAUCUGUGUGGAAGAUGUUAUGAAUGUGAAUCUGUCAUGUAAUGCUUUCUACUCCCUCUGUUCUUAAAUAUAAGUUUUUUUAAAAAUUUACUAAAAGACUACAUACGGAUGUAUAUAGACAUAUUUUAGAAUAUAGAUUCAUUCAUUUUGCUUUGUAUGUGGUCUUCUAGUGAAAUCUCUUAAAAAGACUUAUAUUUAGAAGCGGAGGGAGUAGAAAAAUAGUUGCAUGGCAUUUUUUUAGAGGAAUUAGCUAAUUGAGGAUAUGUAACCUGCCAUGGCAUUUUUAUUAAUUAGAACAUGUCAUUUUUACUAAUACACAUAAGAAUAUUAUGUACCCAGGCAAAAGAGUGUACACGAUUGAGACAUAUAACAUUCAUAUGUGAAAGAAGAAUUACUAGAAAAAAUAUUAUGCAUUUGAACCAAGGAAUACAGUUGGAUGAACAUUUUUUUAUUGGAAAGGUAGUGGCUACACCUAAGUUCGGUGCACCUCAUGAUGAUCAAUAAAAUCAAAUUACAUGGGAAGACAAAGAGCUGCGCAUGAGGGCCUGGAGCUCUUUAAAUCAUAUAUUAUAAACCAGUACUACUGGUUAGAGCAUGGUUAAUAGUAUAGCCAACAACUGGCUAUAAGCCAUCUUAUAGUCCAUUUUAUAGUUAGUUUGUAUAAUAGUUAGCUAUAAAAAAGUAUUACUUUUAUCAUAUAUGGUCCAUUUUUCAUUCUCACAAAUCACCUAGAAGCACGUGCUAGAGCUAGCUCUUUACGAAGAACCCGCUUCCCUUCUCUCUCCCCUUCUCUCUAAUGUGAAUCUGUCAGGUUAUACAAGUUCUUUUGUUUGCACUUUUUUCCAUGUCAAAACUAGUUGCCAUGCUUCCUCUAAUCUUGCCAUGACAUUUUUCAUAGCUAGCUAAUAAGUAGAAAAAACACAUGGCAACUAUGAGGGCUUGUUCGGUUAAUCGUCUUGAGGAGAGGAUUAGAGGGGAUUGACAAGGAUUGGGACAUAUUUUGACUUGUAAGGGGUUUAAAUCCACCUCAAACCCCUUCAAUCCUCUUGAAUCCACACGCAACCGAACAAGGCCUGAACGUUCAUAGUUUGACUUGUUAGCUUGUUGUCCUGCUCCUUCUCUGAAUGUUCAGUGAUGAUGGACGAAUCCUUUUCCAACGCAAAAAUCAAGUUUUUUAUCCUUCUUGAUCUGAUCUUGGCAUUGAAAGAAGCAUUGGCAUCGCGUGUCUCCAGCCAGCAAAUUCUUGAUGCGUGUCUCUUCCUCGCACACUCGACAGCCGCCAAACCGAGCAACCUUUGCUUGAGGAUCUUACGCAAUUUGAACUCUACAGCAGAAAGCAGUCAAGUUUCUUGGGCAACGUCAAACCUAAGGAUAAGCUCGUUUGCGAUGUGGAAUUGCAGCUCGACGUCACUAAAUAGGGACUUGCUCCAGAUCUUCAGGUUAAGACCGCCCUUUUCAACUUUAUGCGGAUGCGCGCAAAGGCACAAUGAGACUGCACCUCCCUGUUCCAAGCAUGCUCGACCGUCUCCUGGAACCUUGGGAACUUGGGUCAGAAGCUUUCGAACCCGAAUAUUGCGUUGCGGGGAGGGUGUUGUGAUGUACCGGACAACAACAACGGGCAGUGGUCGGAGCAGGAUGUGGAAGUAGCCAUCAGCAGCGACGAGGGAACACAUCGAUUCCCAUACCAGGUUGUAGAAAAACUUGUCGAUGCUGACGAAGGUGGGGCGCCGACGCUUGUGGCCACAAAUAAACCGGUGAUUCUUGCAUUUCAUUUUGCGGAGAGCUGCUACGUCGAUUGCCGCAAUAAACCUACCCAUAGUGCGAUGGUUUAGGUUUAAGUACUCUUGUUCCUAGCGUCACAAAUUGCAUUGAAAUCAGUGUUAAUAAGUCAGGGAUCUCCGAUGUGUGGCACAAAACUAACUAACCUGAGGAGGAAUUGUUCUCUGUGAGCAUCGUCCGUAGGGUCGUAGACUGUUUUUAACCAGUAAGUCUAAGAGGAUCUAAUUGUUUUGACGUGUGUAGUGAUGGAGAAGAUUCCAAUGCUAUGCAAAGAAACAAAAACUACAAAGUCGUCCAAGAAGAUGCAUGCGCCGCCUCUAGUGCCGAUCGCGGGGAGAACCACACAUUAUUGCGGUCGCGGGCCUCCUACUUUCCUAACUAGCUUCCGGUCGCAAGUUUCAAUUUUUGUUUCUUGGAGGCAGAGGAUAGCCACCUUUUGCGCGCAGGCAGCCUCGCAGAUCGCCGAACGCUUCGCCGGCGAGUUUAGGCCUCGCACAUUCCAGCUAAUGGUGGGAGGGGUGUCAUCCAUGGGGAAACGGGGCAAUUCUCUCAAAGCUGAUUGAACUACUCAAACGAGGGCACACCAUCCUUACAACCUGCAUACCAAUCUAUUUAACAAGCUAACUUUGUUCAAGGGGGUGGCAUUGUUGUGUGUUCAGGGGGAUGGCAUUUUGUGUGUCCAUGGGGUGGCAAUUUUUAUCUAUUUAUUCUUCGACAAAUUCGUGGGAAGACAUUUGAAUGUGAAUCUGUCAGGUUAUACAAGUUUUUUGUUUGCACUUUUUUCCAUGUCAAAACUAGUUGCCAUGCUUUCUCUAAUCUUGCCAUGACAUUUUUCGUAGCUAGCUAAUAAGUAGAAAAAAUACAUGGCAACUAUGAGGGCUUGUUCGGUUAAUCGUCUUGAGGAGAGGAUUAGAGGGGAUUGACAAGGAUUGGGACAUAUUGUGACUUGUAAGGGGUUUAAAUCCACCUCAAACUCCUUCAAUCCUCUUGAAUCCACACGCAACCGAACAAGGCCUGAACGUUCUUUGCCUAGAUAUCUGGUUUCACCAAUCCACAAGUAGGACAAUCUGUGUGGAAGAUGUUAUGAAUGUGAAUCUGUCAUGUAAUGCUUUCUACUCCCUCUGUUCUUAAAUAUAAGUUUUUUUUAAAAAUUUACUAAAAGACUACAUACGGAUGUAUAUAGACAUAUUUUAGAAUAUAGAUUCAUUCAUUUUGCUUUGUAUGUGGUCUUCUAGUGAAAUCUCUUAAAAGACUUAUAUUUAGAAGCGGAGGGAGUAGAAAAAUAGUUGCAUGGCAUUUUUUAGAGGAAUUAGCUAAUUGAGGAUAUGUAAUCUGCCAUGGCAUUUUUAUUAAUUAGAACAUGUCAUUUUUACUAAUACACAUAAAAAUAUUAUGUACCCAGGCAAAAGAGCGUACACGAUUGAGACAUAUAACAUUCAUAUGUGAAAGAAGAAUUACUAGAGAAAAUAUUAUGCAUUUGAACCAAGGAAUACGGUUGGAUGAACUUUUUUUUUGGAAAGGUAGUGGCUACACCUAAGUUCGGUGCACCUCAUGAUGAUCACUAAAAUCAAAGGGAAAAUAUAAGGAGAAGCGUUGCACCACACUUUUCCCAUGCGGCGGCUUGCACAACCUUAUUUGCAUGCAAGAAUCUUUUACCUCAUGCUUACAUCAUCGCAUUAAAUGUAUUUUUCGUAUUUUAAAAGGAAUUUAUCUCACAGGUUAAUAAUUUGAUUGAAGAUUUGUCUUCACCGUUAGGUUCGUCUCGACGAGACCUUUAAAAUAAGAUCCCAUGUUAACAUGUUUCGUUGAAUUUUUUUCGUCGUUUCUAGUUGCCACAUUUAUGUCAUCAUAGUUGUCAUCUUACGGAUGUCCAGUUGUCAUAAAAAUUAUACAUAGUUAGAGCAAGUACAAUAGAGCUGAGUCAGUUGGCUAUAAGGAAUAAAGUAGUAUAUUUUUGUUUAGUUGGAAGAGAGAGAAGAGGAGAGAGAAGGUAAGCGGGCUCUUAGCUAAGAGCCAGCUCUAGCACGUGCUCCUAGGCACUUUGUGAGUAUGAAAGAUAGACCAUAUAAUAAAUAAAUAGUACACUCCUCUAAUCAACUAUUGUACAUGUUAGCUAUAAGAUGGGCUAUAGGUGACAUGGCAUGAGCUCGGCAGCCGGCUCUACUAUUGUACUUGCUCUUACCGGGACAAUAAUUUUAUACUUUUUAAAUAUUGCAGUGUUAUGUGGAGCUAAAAGAUGAGUAUUAAAGCACUAACAAUAAGCAAGUAAAUGCAAGAACAACUCAAGUACAAUGAGUCAAGCUUUUUAGUGGGGAUAUAUCGACAUUCAUAAAUCUGAUAACCAAGUUGAUUUAAUGUGAGAACUACGUGACAAAUAAUGUGACAAGUAAGUGAUAGUAAUCUGGUAAGUAACGACGAAAAAUAAAAGUUAUCGAAACAUAUCGACAUGGGAUCUAGUUUUAAAGAUCUCGUUGCGAUAAAGUCAAUGAUGAAAGCAAAUCACUAAUUGAGAUAACGGUUUGAGAAAUAAAUCUUUUAUAAAAUGCAAAAGCGUUGCUAUUAAUACUUCUUGGAUGCAUGUCCAGCCUGCAUGCAGUGUAAGCCCAUGCUAGACUAAAAGCAUUGAUUUUUUUACAUGAUAAAAAUAUGGUUGAAAACGUGAAUUACAGAAGAGGCAGCAGCGGCCGCACCACAAGACACAGGUAGGGCGCCGCUGCAUAGUGACAUCGAAAAUCAAAUUAUAUGGGAAGACAAAGAGCUGCGCACGAGGACAUGCAGCUCUUUAAAUCAUAAACCAGUACUACCGGUUGUACAUUACAAAGCAUUUGAAUGACUAGAAAAAUCAACAAAACCUAUCAGAAUCUCUGCAUUGGGCAGUUGGGCGGCAGCUAGCUUGUACUACGUCAAAACUAACACGGCCUGUGAUCUGCCUCCACCGCACCUUCUCUUGAAGCUCUGAUCCUCACAAUCUGCGCGCGUCCUCUUUGAAUGUGAAUCUGUCAGGUUAUACAUUUGAAUAUGAAUCUGUCAGGNNNNNNNNNNNNNNNNNNNNNNNNNNNNNNNNNNNNNNNNNNNNNNNNNNNNNNNNNNNNNNNNNNNNNNNNNNNNNNNNNNNNNNNNNNNNNNNNNNNNGGUACAUUCCCGGUAACUCCGAAAACCUUCCGGUAAUCAAAUGAGGUCAUCCUAUAUAUCAAUCUUCGUUUCCGGACUAUUCCGAAAACCCUCGUGACGUCCGUGAUCUCAUCUGGGACUCCGAACAACAUUCGGUAACCAACCAUAUAACUCAAAUACGCAUAAAACAACGUCGAACCUUAAGUGUGCAGACCCUGCGGGUUCGAGAACUAUGUAGACAUGACCCGAGAGACUCCUCGGUCAAUAUCCAACAGCGGGACCUGGAUGCCCAUAUUGGAUCCUACAUAUUCUACAAAGAUCUUAUCGUUUGAACCUCAGUGCCAAGGAUUCGUAUAAUCCCGUAUGUCAUUCCCUUUGUCCUUUGGUAUGUUACUUGCCCGAGAUUCGAUCGUCAGUAUCCGUAUACCUAUUUCAACCUCGUUUACCGGCAAGUCUCUUUACUCGUUCCGUAAUACAAGAUCCCGCAACUUACACUAAGUUACAUUGCUUGCAAGGCUUGUGUGUGAUGUUGUAUUACCGAGUGGGCCCCGAGAUACCUCUCCGUCACACGGAGUGACAAAUCCCAGUCUUGAUCCAUACUAACUCAACUAACACCUUCGGAGAUACCUGUAGAGCAUCUUUAUAGUCACCCAGUUACGUUGCGACGUUUGAUACACACAAAGCAUUCCUCCGGUGUCAGUGAGUUAUAUGAUCUCAUGGUCAUAGGAAUAAAUACUUGACACGCAGAAAACAGUAGCAACAAAAUGACACGAUCAACAUGCUACGUCUAUUAGUUUGGGUCUAGUCCAUCACGUGAUUCUCCCAAUGACGUGAUCCAGUUAUCAAGCAACAACACCUUGUUCAUAAUCAGAAGACACUGACUAUCAUCGAUCAACUGGCUAGCCAACUAGAGGCAUGCUAGGGACGGUGUUUUGUCUAUGUAUCCACACAUGUAAAUGAGUCUUCAUUCAAUACAAUUAUAGCAUGGAUAAUAAACUAUUAUCUUGAUACAGGAAUUAUAAUAAUAACUAUACAUUUAUUAUUGCCUCNNNNNNNNNNNNNNNNNNNNNNNNNNNNNNNNNNNNNNNNNNNNNNNNNNNNNNNNNNNNNNNNNNNNNNNNNNNNNNNNNNNNNNNNNNNNNNNNNNNNCGGUGGAGAGACGAGGUCUCCCGGCAGGGCUUCGCCAAGCGCCGGCAGAGAGGAGGAGGGAGAGGAGCAGGGCUGCGCCGAGAGAGAGAUCAAACCGUGUCUCCAACAGCCCCGAGUCCUCAUCUAUUUAUAGGAGGAGGGGGAGGGGGCGCAGCCCCCUAGGGUUCCCACCCCCAAGGGGGUGCGGGCAGCCCCUAGGAUGGGGAGAGGGGGGCGGCGGCCAGGGGCAGGGAGGAGGGGUGGCGCACCCCUCUGGUGGGCCUUAGGCCCACCUAUGCCAGGGUUCCCCCUUCCCCCUUUUCUCUGGUGCGCAUGGGCUGGGUGGGGGGCGCACCAGCCCACCUAGGGGCUGGUUCCCUUCCACUUAGCCCAUCUAGCCUCCCGGGGUCGUUGCCCCCCUUCGAUGGUCCCCCGGGACCACCUCCGGUGGUCCCAGUGGUCCCGGUACGUUACCGGUGACGCCCGAAACAAUUCCGGUGUCCAAAACCAUCCGUCCUAUAUAUCAAUAUUUACCUCCGGACCAUUCCGGAGCUCCUCGUGACGUCCGGGAUCUCAUCGAGGACUCCGAACAACUUUCGGUAACCUCGUACAACAAUUCCCUAUAACCCUAGCGCCAUCGAACCUUAAGCGUGUAGACCCUACGGGUUCGGGAGACAGGUAGACAUGACCGAGACACCUCUCUGGCCAAUAACCAUCAGCGGGGUCUGGAUACCCAUGGUGGCUCCCACUAGCUCCACGAUGAUCUCAUCGGAUGAACCACGAUGUCAAGGAUUCAGUAAAUCCCGUAUACGAUUCCCUUUGUUUGUCGGUAUAGAACUUGCCCGAGAUUCGAUCGUCGGUAUACCUAUACCUUGUUCAAUCUCGUUACCGGUAAGUCUCUUUACUCGUUCCGUAGCAUGUCAUCGUGUGACUAACUCCUUAGUCACAUUGAGCUCAUGAUGAUGUUCUACCGAGUGGGCCCAGAGAUACCUCUCCGUCACACGGAGUGACAAAUCCUGAUCUCGAUUCGUGCCAACCCAACAGACACUUUCGGAGGUACCCGUAGUGCACCUUUAUAGUCACCCAGUUACGUUGUGACGUUUGAUACACCCAAAGCACUCCUACGGUAUCCGGGAGUUGCACAAUCUCACGGUCGAAGGAAAAGAUACUUGACAUUAGAAAAGCAUUAGCAUACGAACAAUACGAUCUUGUGCUAGGCUUAGGAUUGGGUCUUGUCCAUCACAUCAUUCUCCCAAUGAUGUGAUCCCGUUAUCAAUGACAUCUAAUGCCCAUGAUCAGGAAACCAUGAUCAUCUAUUGACUAACGAGCUAGCCAACUAGAGGCUUGCUAGGGACACAUUGUGAUCUAUUCAUUCACACAUGUAUUACUGUUUCCUGUUAAUACAAUUAUAGCAUGAACGAUANNNNNNNNNNNNNNNNNNNNNNNNNNNNNNNNNNNNNNNNNNNNNNNNNNNNNNNNNNNNNNNNNNNNNNNNNNNNNNNNNNNNNNNNNNNNNNNNNNNNGGUUAUUGGCCAGAGAGGUGUCUCGGUCAUGUCUGCCUGUCUACCCGAACCGUAGGGUCUACACGCUUAAGGUUCGAUGACGCUAGGGUUAUAGGGAAUUGUUGUACGAGGUUACCGAAAGUUGUUCGGAAUCCCGGAUGAGAUCCCGGACGUCACGAGGAGCUCCAGAAUGGUACCGGAGGUAAAUAUUGAUAUAUAGGACGGAUGGUUUUUGGACACCGGAAUUGUUUCGGGCGUCACGGGUAACGUCCCGGGACCACCGGGACCACCGGAGGUGGUCCCGGGGGACCACCGAAGGGGGGCAACGACCCCGGGAGGCUAGAUGGGCUAAGUGGAAGGGAACCAGCCCCUAGGUGGGCUGGUGCGCCCCCCACCCAGCCCAUGCGCACCAGAGAAAAGGGGGAAGGGGGAACCCUGGCAUAGGUGGGCCUAAGGCCCACCAGAGGGGUGCGCCACCCCUCCUCCCUGCCCUGGCCGCCGCCCCCUCUCUCAUCUGGGGCUGCCGCACCCCUUGGGGGUGGGAACNNNNNNNNNNNNNNNNNNNNNNNNNNNNNNNNNNNNNNNNNNNNNNNNNNNNNNNNNNNNNNNNNNNNNNNNNNNNNNNNNNNNNNNNNNNNNNNNNNNNGAGGCAAUAAUAAAAUGGUUAUUAUCAUAUUUCCUUGUUCAUGAUAAUCGUCUAUCGUUCAUGCUAUAAUUGUAUUAACAGGAAACAGUAAUACAUGUGUGAAUGAAUAGAUCACAAUGUGUCCCUAGCAAGCCUCUAGUUGGCUAGCUCGUUAGUCAAUAGAUGAUCAUGGUUUCCUGAUCAUGGGCAUUAGAUGUCAUUGAUAACGGGAUCACAUCAUUGGGAGAAUGAUAUGAUGGACAAGACCCAAUCCUAAGCCUAGCACAAGAUCGUAUUGUUCGUAUGCUAAUGCUUUUCUAAUGUCAAGUAUAUUUUCCUUCGACCGUGAGAUUGUGCAACUCCCGGAUACCGUAGGAGUGCUUUGGGUGUAUCAAACGUCACAACGUAACUGGGUGACUAUAAAGGUGCACUACGGGUACCUCCGAAAGUGUCUGUUGGGUUGGCACGAAUCGAGAUCGGGAUUUGUCACUCCGUGUGACGGAGAGGUAUCUCUGGGCCCACUCGGUAGAACAUCAUCAUGAGCUCAAUGUGACUAAGGAGUUAGUCACACGAUGACGUGCUACGGAACGAGUAAAGAGACUUACCGGUAACGAGAUUGAACAAGGUAUAGGUAUACCGACGAUCGAAUCUCGGGCAAGUUCUAUACCGACAGACAAAGGGAAUCGUAUACGGGAUUGAUUGAAUCCUUGACAUCGUGGUUCAUCCGAUGAGAUCAUCGUGGAGCUAGUGGGAGCCACCAUGGGUAUCCAGACCCCGCUGAUGGUUAUUGGCCAGAGAGGUGUCUCGGUCAUGUCUGCCUGUCUCCCGAACCCGUAGGGUCUACACGCUUAAGGUUCGAUGACGCUAGGGUUAUAGGGAAUUGUUGUACGAGGUUACCGAAAGUUGUUCGGAAUCCCGGAUGAGAUCCCGGACGUCACGAGGAGCUCCAGAAUGGUCCGGAGGUAAAUAUUGAUAUAUAGGACGGAUGGUUUUGGACACCGGAAUUGUUUCGGGCGUCACGGGUAACGUCCCGGGACCACCGGGACCACCGGAGGUGGUCCCGGGGGACCACCGAAGGGGGGCAACGACCCCGGGAGGCUAGAUGGGCUAAGUGGAAGGGAACCAGCCCCUAGGUGGGCUGGUGCGCCCCCCACCCAGCCCAUGCGCACCAGAGAAAAGGGGGAAGGGGGGAACCCUGGCAUAGGUGGGCCUAAGGCCCACCAGAGGGGUGCGCCACCCCUCCUCCCUGCCCUGGCCGCCGCCCCCUCUCUCAUCUGGGGCUGCCGCACCCCUUGGGGGUGGGAACCCUAGGGGCUGCGCCCCCUCCCCCUCCUCCUAUAAAUAGAUGAGGACUCGGGGCUGUUGGAGACACGGUUUGAUCUCUCUCUCGGCGCAGCCCUGCUCCUCUCCCUCCUCCUCUCUGCCGGCGCUUGGCGAAGCCCUGCCGGGAGACCUCGUCUCUCCACCGNNNNNNNNNNNNNNNNNNNNNNNNNNNNNNNNNNNNNNNNNNNNNNNNNNNNNNNNNNNNNNNNNNNNNNNNNNNNNNNNNNNNNNNNNNNNNNNNNNNNGAGGCAAUAAUAAAAUGGUUAUUAUCAUAUUUCCUUGUUCAUGAUAAUCGUCUAUCGUUCAUGCUAUAAUUGUAUUAACAGGAAACAGUAAUACAUGUGUGAAUGAAUAGAUCACAAUGUGUCCCUAGCAAGCCUCUAGUUGGCUAGCUCGUUAGUCAAUAGAUGAUCAUGGUUUCCUGAUCAUGGGCAUUAGAUGUCAUUGAUAACGGGAUCACAUCAUUGGGAGAAUGAUGUGAUGGACAAGACCCAAUCCUAAGCCUAGCACAAGAUCGUAUUGUUCGUAUGCUAAUGCUUUUCUAAUGUCAAGUAUCUUUUCCUUCGACCGUGAGAUUGUGCAACUCCCGGAUACCGUAGGAGUGCUUUGGGUGUAUCAAACGUCACAACGUAACUGGGUGACUAUAAAGGUGCACUACGGGUACCUCCGAAAGUGUCUGUUGGGUUGGCACGAAUCGAGAUCAGGAUUUGUCACUCCGUGUGACGGAGAGGUAUCUCUGGGCCCACUCGGUAGAACAUCAUCAUGAGCUCAAUGUGACUAAGGAGUUAGUCACACGAUGACAUGCUACGGAACGAGUAAAGAGACUUACCGGUAACGAGAUUGAACAAGGUAUAGGUAUACCGACGAUCGAAUCUCGGGCAAGUUCUAUACCGACAAACAAAGGGAAUCGUAUACGGGAUUUACUGAAUCCUUGACAUCGUGGUUCAUCCGAUGAGAUCAUCGUGGAGCUAGUGGGAGCCACCAUGGGUAUCCAGACCCCGCUGAUGGUUAUUGGCCAGAGAGGUGUCUCGGUCAUGUCUACCUGUCUCCCGAACCCGUAGGGUCUACACGCUUAAGGUUCGAUGGCGCUAGGGUUAUAGGGAAUUGUUGUACGAGGUUACCGAAAGUUGUUCGGAGUCCUCGAUGAGAUCCCGGACGUCACGAGGAGCUCCGGAAUGGUCCGGAGGUAAAUAUUGAUAUAUAGGACGGAUGGUUUUGGACACCGGAAUUGUUUCGGGCGUCACCGGUAACGUACCGGGACCACUGGGACCACCGGAGGUGGUCCCGGGGGACCAUCGAAGGGGGGCAACGACCCCGGGAGGCUAGAUGGGCUAAGUGGAAGGGAACCAGCCCCUAGGUGGGCUGGUGCGCCCCCCACCCAGCCCAUGCGCACCAGAGAAAAGGGGGAGGGGGAACCCUGGCAUAGGUGGGCCUAAGGCCCACCAGAGGGGUGCGCCACCCCUCCUCCCUGCCCUGGCCGCCGCCCCCUCUCCCAUCUAGGGCUGCCGCACCCCUUGGGGGUGGGAACCCUAGGGGCUGCGCCCCCUCCCCCUCCUCCUAUAAAUAGAUGAGGACUCGGGGCUGUUGGAGACACGGUUUGAUCUCUCUCUCGGCGCAGCCCUGCUCCUCUCCCUCCUCCUCUCUGCCGGCGCUUGGCGAAGCCCUGCCGGGAGACCUCGUCUCUCCACCGNNNNNNNNNNNNNNNNNNNNNNNNNNNNNNNNNNNNNNNNNNNNNNNNNNNNNNNNNNNNNNNNNNNNNNNNNNNNNNNNNNNNNNNNNNNNNNNNNNNNCAAGCAGCGCACUCGGUCCAGGAAAUCAGAAGGAAUAAACAACGGAGCAUGGCAACGCGCAUUAAGAAAAGAAUUUUGGGACGAGCCAGUAGAUGACGAGCGUAACAACAUUACUUAAUUAUAAUGCCAUCUCAUUUCACCCCCCCCCCCUUAAAAAACUAGAGACGAUGCGCGUCGUGCUGGCAAUCAAGCAGCGUACCUGGUCCAGAAAAUCAGAAGGAAGAAACAACGGAGCAUGGCGGGUCAAUGGCUCAUGUGCGAGGUUUUUGAGGUGAAUUGGAAGGAGUGCGACGUCGUUCGUCUGAAUUGCCUCAGUGCGACGUUUCUGACCGAGGAAAUAUCCCACACACGACAUGGCCCUUAAUAUGAACUGAUGCCCUCAUUAGCUAUAUGGAGUUGGACCCACAACUUAUCCACGUAAGCACGGGCCCCAAUUGUAAGUGCAUCAGGUCAAACGUAUCCCCGUGCCUGUUUGAAUGAGUAUCCCUGUCUGAACCUGUGUUGCUCCCUCCUCUUUGUUCCCGGUGGUGAGCCAGCGGCGGCGGCGGAGCUUUUGUUCUGGGUGACAGCAGUGGCGGCGCUUUCAUUCUCGGCGACGUCGGCGGCUGUGGUGAGAGCACCCUCUGUUUUCCUCUGUUCUCGAGUUCGAGCUCGAGGAAUACACAGAAGGCCCUUGUCGCGGCGGUGGCGUUCGUGCGCUUGAGAAUCCACUCGGUUCAUCUUCCUCCUCUCCGGUCGUGUCUGCGGCGAUCACCGGCGAGCCGCGAUUCCAUUUUGUCCUAACAUUUGGUAUCAGAGCGAGGGUGAGAGGGGGAGGUUGCCGGCCAUGGCGCUUGUUCCGGCUGCUUCACUCUCAUUGCAGGUUUAUAUAUCAAGCCAUCCAAAAAGUCACCACUCACAUCUGCAAACUUGAGACCAGCGGCUUAUCCUUCUUGGCGAUCACCACCAACGCCGCGUCCUCCGACGGCACCACCGCCUCCCAGAGACCGGCGGCAUCCAGGUCGGCCUCCACCUUGAUGGCCCAGGUGGUGAAGUUCUCCCCUGUGAGGAAGGGAACCGACGUAGCCAUCGCAUUCCCCGAUCCACCAGAGUACGGCAUGAGCGCCAUGGCCGGUGACCUCCCCCUCUCACCCUAGCUCUGAUGCCAAAUGUCAGGGCAAAAAUGGAACCGCCACGCUCCGGCGAUCACCCGAGACAACAAGCAAACGCGAGAGCGACGACGCCCAGGGUUCCCUGGUGCACAAACACCUUGUCGGAUCAGAGAAGGAAGAAGAACACGGACACGGCGAGGUGGUUUUCCCGGCGCUCGAACUCCCUUCCUUGAGCUCAGACUCAACACACACACUCGCCAGCAAGCUACACAACAGAGAUUUAUACCCGCGAGCACUUCCUUCACACAGCAUCCUGCUGGACAAAAUCUUAGAAGAAUUACUAGGAAUAAUUGGCUAAAUAAAAUGAGCUCAACAUUUGUUUAGAGAGGUUUUAUAGGUAGGAGAAUGUCCUGGUAAAAUUUGUCAAUUUAUGGAGCAACAUAAAACAUAGUUGCUUCACAAUCCAAAAUAAUGACGAGAGACAAAGAUUUGAUGCUAUGGUCACAUGGUUGAAGGAGUGAUGCUCAAAUUUGUAAAAGAGGCAUUAUUUAAGCAUUUUGAGAUGAUGGCAAAGUUUCAACGCAUUUGAACACUCCUAGCUAGCACUUGCUUCACAGAGCAUCCUUUGGAUCAGAAACUUUGGAAAUUUGCCAAGAAAUAUUUACUAGCUAAAUUGAGUUGAAUUUUGGCAUGAGGCAAUGAUAUGGAUAGGAGAAUGUCCUGGUAAAAUUUCAGAAUUUAUGGAGCAACAUAAAACAUAGUUGCUUCACAAUUCAAAACAUAAAACAUAGUUGCUUCACAACUUUGACCAAAUAAAGCACAGCCCACGGAUCGCUGGCGUGGCCCUACUUCCUGAUGCAGAUCGUUCAUUCAUGGCGAUCCAAUGGUCCGGACAGGUGUGGGGUUUUGAUGGGGUUUUCAAACGUUAGGGUUGAGCAUAAGUAAUUCAAAAAAAUCAAAAAAUAGGAAACUUGUGGCAAUCAUCAUUAUAUGUGACUAACUCCAUAGGAAAAAUAAGAAAUCUAGAAUAUGGAGUUUUUCAUGAAAAAACCUUCACAAACUUGGCUAUCACGAACGAGGUUGUACGGUUUUCAAACGUUAGGGUUGAGCAUAAGUAAUUCAAAAAAAUCAAAAAAACAGGAAACGUGUGACAAUCAUCAUUAUAUGUGACUAACUCCAUAGGAAAAAUAAGAAAUCUGGAAUAUGGAGUUUUUCAUGAAAAAACCUUCACAAACUUGGCUAUCACGAACGAGGUUGUACGGUUUUCAAACGUUAGGGUUGAGCAUAAGUAAUUCAAAAAAAAUCAAAAAAUAGAAAACCGGUGGCAAUCAUCAUUAUGUGACUAACUCCAUAGGAAAAAUAAGAAUUCUGGAAUAUGGACUUUUUCAUGAAAAAACCUUCACAAACUUGGCUAUCACGAACGAGGUUGUACGGUUUUCAAACGUUAGGGUUGAGCAUAAGUAAUUCAAAAAAUGAAAAAAAAUAGAAAACUUGUGGCAAUCAUCAUUAUAUGUGACUAACUCCAUAGGAAAAAUAAGAAAUAUGAAAUAUGGAGUUUUUCAUGAAAAAACCUUCACAAACUUGGCUAUCACAAACGAGGUUGUACGGUUUUCAAACGUUAGGGUUGAGCAUUCAAAAAAAUUAAAAAAAUAGAAAACUGGUGCCAAUCAAUUUGAGCAGUUAGUAUAUGACAAAGUAAGAACAUGUGUACUGGUUUUCCAAUAUAUUUGUUUUAAUUUUUAUGCUCAUUUCAAACUUGGUCAAACCUAAGUUUGACAAACAUUUAAACAAGUUGCAAACAUGAAAAUGACAAACCAAACCUGGAUCCUUCUUAGUCACUCCAAAAUGAAGCUUGUGUGAUGUUUUUGAAAGUUUAAAGUUCAACACCCAAAACCAUUUGUCUUCACACAUAAGUUUCAAAUUCGCUCCAAAGGGGGUAAAUACCUCAUUUCUAAAACAAGUUUUUUGUCCAUCAUGCCUAAAACAGCCAAUUCAAUUUGAAUUGUUAGUAUAUGACAAAGUAAGAAUAUGUGCACUGGUUUUCCAAUAUUUUUAUGCUCAUUUCAAAAUUGGUCAAACCAAAGUUUGACAAACAUUUUAAACAGACCACUCUGUUCGCCGUUUUCGUUUUCUUUACACAUGUAAAUUGCUCUUCAUUUACACCUGGAACAAAAAUACAUGUGUAUUUAUUUACAUCGAAAACGUGUAUGUAUUUAAACUGAAAACUGAAAACAGGGCAACCCCGUUGGAAACAGAGCAGGGCGCUCUGGCUGACCGAUCAAUCUGACCGAGGGUCAAACUGACCCGUGGGCCAGGGAAGUCAGCGGGCGUCACAUCAGCGUCCCAUCGAAGCUAUUUAUACGGUGAGAGGUGUCGUACCCUAGCUAUUUCCAGAUCUACGCCGCUCUAGCUCCUCUCGCCCCUCACCGUCGGCGAACCCCACCAAAACCACGCAUUCCAGCCUCGCCGCCGCACGGAUCAUGGGGAGGCCAGGAUCUUUCAGCUCGCGCGGCGGCCAUUCUGGCGGCGGAAACUGGAGGCCAAAGCGGCCGGCGCCUGAAACCCCGGAGUCUGAGCGCGAUCGGGCGGCGCGGGUUGCUUCUGACGCUGCUCGGAAGCGCGGCGCCCGAAGGUACACCAACUGGGGGCUCGCGCCACCGUGUGCCUUCGCCCGACGCGAGGUGGAGGAGUACGACCGCCCCCGCCAGAUAGGGAAGCGGCGCGCUCCUCUGCUGCGGGCUCCUCUGCCACGGGCUCCUCUGCCGCCCCUGCCGCGGGCUCCUCCGCCAUUGCACCCGAGCUGCUGCCGACGGGCUCUCUGCCGUAGGACUACGUCAACGACGGCGAGUUCGAGGACGUCAUGGCCGAGGUGAUGGAGCGCACCAAGGAAGAGGCCCAGCAGGUCGCCGCGCGCCGGCAGAGGGAAGAGGAGCUCGACGAGAUCCGCCUCCGCCAAGCAAUCGAGGCAUCCCGCGCCGACAGGGGGUGGGGCGCCUCCGAGUCCGACUCCGACUGACCGGCGCCGCCGCAACGUCGGGGCCGCACCGCUGGGGCUCUGGUGAGCGCCCACUUUUGGAGAUGGUGAGGUAGGAGUUUAGGUGGCCGAGGUUAGGAGCUAGCCCGUGUAAUCGGGGAGGGUGUAAUCGUCUCCGACGAGCCCUUGUAAUCGAACCUAUGAUAUUUUCUGUAAUGGAUAUAUGUUUGUUCGAAUUCAGUCUCUUUUCUUUUAAAUGCUUGUAAAUUUGCCCGCUUUUCUAAAUCGGAGCUCGUCGGCGUUGCCGUGCUUCGUCGCCGGAGAAGAAGAAGAGGGAGGAUGCGCGCGCGGGAUAACUGUUUGACUGUAGUAGCCGUCAUCUGGGUCCCAUGCCAACGUGGAUAAGCUGGGGGUCCCGCCCGGCUCCACCUAAUCCUGAUACAUAUUGUGUUUAAGGGUCAUGUCGUGUCUGGGCUAUUUGUGCGCACAAAGGUGUCGCAGCAGAGCCAUUCUUACCAACGAUGUCGCAAUCCUUUCAAUUCACCUCAAAAAACGUCACACAAAAACUAUUCGCCCGAGCAUGACAACACGCAUUAAGACAAGAACUUUGCGACGAGCGAGUAGAUGACGAGCGUAACAACAUUACUUAAUUAUAAUGCCAGCUCGUUUCACACACCCCCACCCCCUUCCUAAAAAAAACUAGAGACGAUGGGUGUCGUGCUGGCAAUCAAGCAGCUUACUCGGUCCAGGAAAUCAGAAGGAAGAAACAAUGGAGCAUGGCAACGCAAGCGAGCGAGACUUGCGUUCCAUACCGCGGCUUGUCCUGCUCAUGGUUGACCUGGAAAUCCUAGUCUUACGACCUGGUACUUUGUUUGGCCCAUAAUGUACAAAAUCCAAUUGCCAACAUGGAAUGGAAAAGAUAAUUGCAAACGAUCCGCUCAACAAUGACAGGUAACCCACUAUCCUCUAAACGGAAGUCCUGUCAUGAGGUCCAGACGUAGUCCUACAUUUCGAACCAAUUUCCUCUACUUAAUUUAAGAAGAUAAGAGUACCCGCGUCAAAAUAAGAGUAGAAAAUGACAAUGUCAACUCUGUCUUGACCAAUAAGCUGCGAGCUCCGUGCUGCGAGCUAGCUCUGGACCAUGGAUAAAUACACCAUUGCAGCAGCAGCUGGCCCCGACAUCUAGUCGGGAGCGAGAGAAAGAAAUCACACGCUCUAGAAGCUGUGUUUCUGCUACCCCGCGGGUGUGAUUGGAAGAUGGGGACGCUUCUUGCUCCUCUGCGCGUUCCUCCUUGUCCUGCUCAGCGUGGCGAGCCUCAUGGAGGUCACGGAAGGGAGGGGCCGAGGCGGAUCACGCGGCGGAGGAAGCAGCAGCCCGCGUGGCCUCAGCGGUGGCACCUGGA
rnacentral:lncRNA from 1 species